UCCUUCUCCUUCUCCUUCUCCUUCUCCUUCUCCUUCUCCUUCUCCUUCUCCUUCUCCUUCUCCUUCUCCUUCUCCCCUUGUGCCACUUUAGUAACUCUUCUUGCAAAACCUGGUGCCCUUUUCACCCUUUCCUCCAGCUUUCUAAACAAAACAGUACUCCGUCAGCCUCCUCACUGCCUUCGGUUUAGACGGGUCAUUAAUUAGAAAUUUGAGAAGCUGUGCGUUUAGAUUUAAACCUAAUUGGAUAUUUGUGAACCAAAUGUCAAAGCCUCGGAUUCAGGUCAGUGACUCCAUGGCACCUUGAUAUCUCUUUUACGCCUCAUAUACAUGGCCAACAUUUUGCUUCCUGAGGGGUGGGUUGCCCUUGAAGAGUACCCACGGAAAAAUAUUGUCUUAGUCUCAAAGCUGCUACAUCCUACACUCUAUUCCAGCCCAUCCUUAUGGGUCAUGCAAGGGCCAGAAGAUAGUGGUAAUAACCAAAUCCCUGACAGCGGGUUUCAUUCAGCUAAGUUCUACCCAUGAAAUUAAUGAUCCUAAGUUAGGCCCUAUCUGAACGAUAAAUUUAAAAGCAGUAUCAUAUCACUUUCAACAGUCAUGGCUCCCCCCAAAGAAUCUUGGGAACUGUACUUUGUGAAGGGUGCUGAGACCUGUUAGGAGACUACUAUUGCCUUCUCAGAGCUACAGCUCCUAGAAUUCUCUGGGAAGAGGGAUGGACUGUUAAACCAUUCUUGGAACUAUAGCUCUAUGAGGGGGAUAAAAGUCUCCUAACAGCUCUCAACCUCCAUAACGGUCUACAGCUCCCAGCAUUCUUUAGGGGAAGCCAUGACUGUUUAAAGUGGUGAUACCGUUUUAAAGAUGUUGUGCAGACGGGGCCUUAUUAAUGCCCAUUAACUUAAAUGAGUUGACUCUUGAGUAUGACUAGCAAUGAAUACCACCCAACCUGUUUGUGUUCUGACAUGCUACAUAGUUCCCACCCAUCCUUAUUUGAUGUCAAGGUUUGGGGUGAUUUAUUGAAAUUUUACUUUGCCUUAGCAGUAGGGAAGUUCGUGUCACUUUUUAAAUGGAAUAGAACAUGAAAGAAGAUCUAUAGCAUCGGUCCUGUGUGGAUAGUGCCAUUACAACAUUUAGCCACUAGGUAGCACUGGAUUUAGCUGCACCUGAGUAGAGUCAGGAGUUACCUGUUGCUGUCCUUGUUCAAGAGAGACAAUAAAGUUCUUUUCUAGCUUCCUGGCCGACUACUACGUCCUCCAUUCCUUCCACGACUGAAACCAAACACUGGCAAUUUGCAACAAUCUGCACUUAGAUUUCGUUGUGAUGGGGAGGAGGCACACGAAGGAGGCGGCAGGGGAGCGGGGAGAAGAAGCCUAGAUCAAUUCACAGCAGCUUGUAUAGCUAGAAACCAUUCAUUCUUUUUUUACGAGGCUCAUUUGCAUUUAUACCCUUUCCUGCUGUUGCUGAGUAGGCCCCUUUCACUUGCCCUGAAUCUACGACUGCUCAGGGGGUGCUUAAGUAGCUGCUUCCCACUGAUAUAUUGAUUAUCCCUCUAAUUAGAUCCCAGAUCUGUACGUGGGCUAACAGAACCGAUUUAUCUGAAUGGCAUUUAUUUAUUUAUCUAUCUUUCUAUCUAGCAGGGAGGAGGAGGAGGAGGGGGUCUGUUGGGAAAGGGGUUCGACUAAUUAAUUCUACAGGGAUGCCUUUUCUUUCUUGCGUUGUGGGAGAAAGUACAUCUCCUUGGGCUUCCAUUAGGUUAAGAUGACUUUUAUUUUUUAGCAUCGGAAAUGGCUCUGGAUGCCUUUGGAUGCGCAUACGUGAGGAGCACCUAAGUGCGCCAUCUUCCUCAUUCACCCCAAUGGAGAACAGAGUUCCUUGCGCAUGUGAGGAUGGGACACAUUCACGGAGCAAAAGCCUAUCAAUGACCACUAGUCGUGAUGGCUGUGCUCUUCCUGCACUCUGAGAGGCUGCUAGCUAGACUCUUGGGCUGGGUUAUUGUUCAUGGGGGCAAGAGGCAGGAGCAGGUCAGGAAUAACUCACAAAAUGUCACUGAAGUUAACUCCUUAUUCAAAGAAACAAAAGAGCUCAGGCUUAGUGAUCACAGGCCCAGAUAGUCAGUGUUGAAGAGCCUAGAUAGCUCAGUUGGUUAGAGUGUGGUGUUAUCCUAGAUAGCCAGUGGUUAGGUGGUGUUAAUAAUGCCAAGGCUGCAGGUUCAAUCCCUGCACGGGAAAGCUGCAUAUUCCUGCAUUGCAGGCGGUUGGACUAGAUGAUCCUCAGGGUCCCUUCCAACUCUACAGUUCUGUGAUUCUGUGACUCUUGGGCUGGGUUAUUGUUCAUGGGGGCAAGAGACAGGAGCAGGUCAGGAAUAACGCACAAAAUGUCACUGAAGUUAACUCCUUAUUCAAAGAAACAAAAGAGCUCAGGCUUAGUGAGCACAAUAACUCGGGUUAUGUACUUAACUAGGCAAUUCGAUCCAGGGCCUGACGACUUGCACAGUCCAGCCACGUGCUUCUGCAGUCCAUGCCCAGGGGCAAAAAGCAGAUCGUGCUUUUUUUAAAAAAAGAAAGAGGGAAGGGGGUGUUGAAAAAAAGCGCUGAGCAGCUGAUCAGCAAGCGAUCGGGAGGGGAGACAAGGGACUCUAGCGAUAAAGGAGGGGGAGGUAAAAGCACCUGGAUCCUCAGGAUUUUUGCAUUGGAUCACCCCAAAUUCUCCAUCAGAUCACAUAGCAUGUCCAUGGCUACACGCUGCACCAAAAAACCCACGCAUCCACUGUUUCGUGGGGCUGCAAUGGCACAAAAACGUGGUUACAAGGCACGCGUCCACAUGGAUCCUCAGGAUUUUUUCAUUGUGCUACCACAAACUCAUCGUCAAAUUACCUAUCAUGUCUGUGGCCACAACAUGAACCAUAAAAAUCAUACAUCCAACUGUUUUGUUCAGAAUAUUUUUUUUCUUGUUUUCCUCCUCUAAAAACUAAAUGCGUCUUAUGGUCAGGUGUGUCUUAUGGAGCGAAAAAUAUGGUAAGCUCCAUUGGACUCCGUGGGACUUCUGAGUGCAGACACUCAGGACUGCACUGAAAGUAUCUUUCAGCAGGGUCAAAAUGGGCUUUCACCCUACGAUGGAACUGCAAACCCCGGAACGGCUUAUCAGAGGAAUGUGGAUGCAUGAACAUGUUAAAAUGCUGUCAGAUGUCCAUGUGGAGAUGGCAGUAUCGAGUCAGUGCUUCUGGCUUGCACUCCUUAUAAAGAUUUGAGGAAUGAGGUUAUAACCCUUCUACUACUGUCCAUGCUGGGUCACUCAACCAUUGCUACAGUGUCCUUUCUUCUAGCAGAUCAAGAUAAUCAGGUAACAGCAAAAACUGCAAAUUUUUUAACAGGGGCAAUUAAAAUAAGAUCUAUUAUUUGAUUAUUGAUGUUAACCUCCAAAAUGCAUUUUGUAUAGUUAAGUUUUUACCUCCAUCUUCAGUACUGUGGUACCUCGGGUUACAUACGCUUCAGGUUACAGACUCCGCUAACCCAGAAAUAGUACCUUGGGUUAAGAUACUUUCUGGUACUAAUUCUGAUUACCAGGCACACUUGCAGAACCCGGCCUUGUGCUUUUGCACAGUCAAGAGACAGACUGCAUCUGACAGGUCAGGUCAGAAGAAUCUUUUUUCGCACCAGCCACUAGCCAUAGCAAUAAAAUAAAUUACAAUGUACUGUACAGUAGUGAGCACAAUAACUCGGCUAUGUACUUAAUCUGGCAAUUUAAUCUGGAUUACCAGGCACACUUGCAGAACCCGGCCUUGUGCUUUUGCACAGUCAAGAGACAGACUGCAUCUGACAGGUCAGGUCAGAAGAAUCUUUUUUCGCACCAGCCACUAGCCAUAGCAAUAAAAUAAAUUACAAUGUACUGUACAGUGGUACCUAAUUUACCUAAUUUAGACAUCACCUUGCCAACAAAGGUCCGUAUAGUUAAAGCUAUGGUUUUCCCAGUAGUGAUGUAUGGAAGUGAGAGCUGGACCAUAAAGAAGGCUGAUCGCCAAAGAAUUGAUGCUUUUGAAUUAUGGUGCUGGAGGAGACUCUUGAGAGUCCCAUGGACUGCAAGAAGAUCAAACCUAUCCAUUCUUAAGGAAAUCAGCCCUGAGUGCUCACUGGAAGGACAGAUCCUGAAGCUGAGACUCCAAUACUUUGGCCACCUCAUGAGAAGAGACGACUCCCUGGAAAAGACCCUGAUGUUGGGAAAGAUUGAGGGCACAAGGAGAAGGGGACGACAGAGGAUGAGAUGGUUGGAUAGUGUUCUCGAAGCUAUAAACAACAACAAAUUUACACUUAGGAGUGCCUGGCGUGCUCUGGUCCAUGGGGUCACAAAGAGUCAGACACAACUAAACAACAACAAAUUUACACUUAGGAGUGCCUGGCGUGCUCUGUUCCAUGGGGUCACAAAGAGUCGGACACGACUAAACGACUAAACAACAACAACAUCAAUUUACACUUCUCAAACCAAAAUAUGAACUGAAACACAGCUAUUCUUCCCAAUUUGCACUUCUCCGAAUUUUGAGAUGCCGUUCUGCAACUGAACAACAAUGUACACAAAUGUACAUAUUAUCGGGGAGGAAGUGUUCAUGAAAAUGCAUAUAUUUUAAAUGGCAUGCAAAAGCACAACAUAAAUCUCAAGGGGUUAUUUUCAACUUCCCAGGACAAGUUCUUGUGUCCCGUCUCCUCGUCUUGUUGAAAUAUGUGAGGAAGAAACAAAUAUUCAACAGUAUACUAAGAAUGCUCUAUAGUAACAAUUUAUAGCAGAGUUAAGGAUUUAAAAGCUCGUACAUCAACAGCAGCAUUGCAGGACAAUUUAAUAACGGCAAAUGGAAGAAAAUGGGAUUGCUGAGUUUGAAACUGGUUUGGGAAGAUGCUCUGAAACAGCUAUUCUGGAUGCACCUUGAUCUCAUCAUUUGAAUUUCAGGGAAAGGCACCUUUGGAAAGAUUUACAUUCACUUACAUUUAGUGAGAGGUGCUGGGGUUAUAAAUCAGAGAGCCACCAUCUCCAGAAGCUUAAACAGCUCCAAAAGGUUAAGUAGAAGAUAUAAAAAUGUUAUGAUGUGUUUGUUACGGCCCUUCGAAAAGGAAAGUAACGAAGCAGGUAGGACAGCAAGGUUACUCGAAUAUCAGGCAGACAAUACCAGGGAUAUCAGGAACACAAACCCCAGGGAAACUUGGAGCAAUGGGGCAUGGACUCCAAAAGUCUAGUAGCCAAAGCUCCAGUGAACAGGAAAUUCCACCUGGCAAUAAAGGAAGGCAAUGCUUGUAACCAGUUAGAUGGGUUAAGUAGGGUUUUGCACCAUGUUUGGUCAAAGGCCAAGUCCUGAACUGAGUCAUGCCGAUUCAGGGGAUGUGGGUUUCGGCUGACUUGGGGGAGACAGCUCCAGAUCACCUUGGAUCAAUCUCCUGGAGUAAUACAGAACUGCCAAGGGAUGGGGUGUUGGGCAGGAAGAAAGAUGAGGGAGGAAUUAGUUUGGUCUGCAUUUUGCAGUGGAACAAACCAAUCCAAUGUCCUGCACUUUAUCAGAUUUUGCAUAGCCACUUCUGCCUUAGGAGGAGGUGGAGUUGUGGGCAGUCACGACCCCUCCAUGUACGCAGGGGUGUGGUCAGCCCUGUGCGAUUGGGGGGAUUCCCGGCUGCGUCACUGCCCAGGCAACCAAGCCGAUUGCUCUGGGGGUGUGGCAUGCUUGAUUGGGAAUCUCACCCCUUUUUGCACUUCCAGCAGUUCUGGUUUUCCCACCCACCCAGGUCUUUUCAUCUCUUGACCUUGCUAUGGACUUUGGUUGGUCGCCGUUGAGGGCCUGGUAGGACUUUUUCCACUUGGCAAAUUGGCACCGGCCACUUGGUUUUCGCCUACCUCGUAGCAAAUCGUCACAACUUUGUAAGGUUUGGCAGUUAGGCACUGGAAUAUUGCUGAAGAAGAGAAAAGGGGAGGUAACACCAUCACCUCCCCUGCACAUUGAAGGGUAUUCUGUUAAAGGAUUCCGGGGGUGUUGCCCUGUCCGAAGCCUGGGGAGGCUAGGGCCUAAGGCGCGACCCCUAUCAGUGGCCCGGGGGGGGGGCGCUCCUAGUUGAUGUGCAUCAGCAGAACUCCCCCUACUGGUGGUUAACCCUACACACACACACACACACACACACACACACAUUCUACAAGGUUUAGAAGUGCUUUUAAACAAACUAAGCAUGGGAAAGCAUGCAUUUUACAAUUUAAAAGUGUGCAUUUUGUAUACCAAGGGAAUACAGAAUGCAUGCAAUUUAAAUGUGGGCAUUCUUUGCAUUGUUUAAAAGUAUCCACACAACAUAAAAUGGAAUGGGCGUAUGACUGUGUUCCAGCGAGACUGAAAUGUCAUGGAAUUGGCUGCUCAUUCUAUCCCUAUCGAAAAGGCACCAGCCACUCACAGGAGGUGGGUUUCCAGCAGACUUGGGGUAAAUCUGAGGUUUGCAGAUGCUCAAAAUAUAUUAAGACACAAAACCAGCCCAAUAAAGUGUUAAUUCAGGAUUUUCUUUGGUCUCAUCCGCUCAUCUGGGCACUGAUUCAUUUCCCUGCCUUUCUAAACUACCCAUCUUCUCAAUUUCCUUUCGCUACAAGUUGCAUCCCAGGAUAAAACCCAUAAGUUCCACCUAGGAGUGGGGUGGGGGAAUUCGAUUCCAUUCACAUUUCAGUGUAAACUUCCUAGAUUUUCACUUUCCAAAACAUUACGUGAUCUGAAACAGUCACCUUUUGAAAUCUGCAGUUCUGUGGAUUUUGCAACACAGUUCUCCAGCCAAGUAAUGUUUUAAAAAUGCAUGUGCUACCACAAAAUGUGCACAUCGAUGCAUAUAUUAUUGAAAGCAACAUACCAAAACACAAUAUUGUAGGAGGAAACGCUUUGCAAAAAUGUGUACAUUAAGCAGAACUGCAUACAAAAUUGAGUAUGUAAUGUGAAAUUUGCACUAAAAUAUGGUGGGUUUUCAUGGGCCCUUAAAAAUAAUAAUGAUCACAAACUGAUAUGUAAAUCUGGAGAACUAAAUUUAAGACUGGAAAUUUGAGAAACUGAAACUGACCCAUUCGACUAUUCCUAAUUACGCCUGCUUAGCCAUAGUAAUCUCCUUUUAGAACCAUUUGCCACCUUUUAACCCGGCAAAUUAUGGACAGUCUAGUCAUUCACUCUAUUGGUUGGGCAAAAUAAGUAGGUCAUGCUACAGCCACAUUCUACGGGUGUUACACAUCAUUUCAGCUACAAUGCACGGACUUGGAAAAUAGGUCACUAAUGCUUAAUGGUUAUUAUAGCCCAUUAUACAGCAAUUUCAGUUUUCAGAGUGGGGCUGACAGGCAAAAUUACAAUGCUAUGCAUUUAUUACUUUCAAAAACAACAACAUCACUUCUUCUUUUUACUGAAAACACACAUGCUGCUGUAUUUCACUGUGUCACUUGGUUCUGGUUUUUCUCCCUCUGCAAACACUUAUUUUUGAAAUGGGAGGAAAGGCUGGUUUGAACUAUGCUCAUGCGCAUAGUUCUGUCACCGGUAUAAUAAUAAUAAUAUAAUAAUUUAUUAUUUAUACCCCGCCCAUCUGGCUGGGUUUCCCCAGCCACUCUGGGCAGCUUCCAACAAAAUAUUAAAAUACAAAAUAUUAAAAUGGUCUGUUAAACAUUAAAAGCUUCCCUAAACAGGGCUGCCUUCAGAUGUCUUCUAAAAGUCUGGUAGUUGUUGCUCUCUUUGACAUCUGGUGGGAGGGCGUUCCACAGGGCAGGUGCCACUACCAAGAAGGCCCUCUGCCUGGUUCCCUGUAACUUGGCUUCUCGCAGUGAGGCAACCACCAGAAGGCCCUCGGUGCUGGACCUCAGUGUCCGAUGGGGGUGAAGACGCUCCUUCAGGUAUACUGGACCUGCUGGUGAUGUUUUCCUCUUUCCCGGUUUUCCCCCCCACGAGAAACAAAUCAGGAGAGAACGAAAACACAUAAUUUUUGUGUUUGUGCCCCAAAUACAUUUCCCUACUGAUUAUGAACACCCUGUUCAAACUAUGAGCAGCUGACAACCUUGUCCUCGAAACUACUACCACUAGAUUAAUUUGACAUGUGCUACGUGGGGCUGCCCCAGAGGUUGGCCCCGAAGCUGCAACUGGGCUAAGCUUGAAGGGCUGGUACUUGUAUUCAAAGUCCUAUACAGCUUGGGACAGGGAUACCGAAAAGAUCACCGCACCCCUUGUAUACCCAACUGAUCGCUCCAUCACAUCAGGAGGCCUUUUCCAUUCGAUGUAGGAAUCAGGUCUUUGGUAUGGCAGCUAAAGAACUCCUUCCCAUUGUAUAUUAGCAAGGACAUGUGUGACACGAUGCAGUGCUCCCCUACAAUUAAAUAUAAUACUGGAAAGGACCCCUAUAAUCCCCACUGCACCCUAGGGAUAUAGGUAAAGGUAAAGGGACCCCUGACCAUGGUGACAGCAGCCACGAAAUUAAAAGACGCCUGCUCCUUGGGAGAAAGGUGAUGGCAAACCUAGACAGCAUCUUAAAAAGCAGAGACAUCACCUUACCAACAAAGGUCCGUAUAGUUAAAGCUAUGGUUUUCCCAGGAGUGAUGUAUGGAAGUGAGAGCUGGACCAUCAAGAAGGCUGAUCGCCGAAGAAUUGAUGCUUUUGAAUUAUGGUGCGGGAGGAGACUCUUGAGAGUCCCAUGGACUGCAAGAAGAUCAAACGUAUCCAUUCUUAAGGAAAUCAGCCCUGAGUGCUCACUGGAAGGACAGAUCCUGAAGCUGAGGCUCCAAUACUUUGGCCACCUCAUGAGAAGAGAAGACUCCCUGGAAAAGACCCUGAUGUUGGGAAAGAUGGAGGGCACAAGGAGAAGGGGACAACAGAGGACGAGAUGCUUGGACGGUGUUCUCGAAGCUACAAACAUGAGUCUGACCAAACUGCGGGAGGCAGUGGAAGACAGGAGGGCCUGGCGUGCUCUGGUCCAUGGGGUCACGAAGAGUCGGACACGACUAAACGACUAAACAACAACAAAGGGACCCCUGACCAUUAGGUCCAGUCGUGGCUGACUCUGGGGUUGCGGCGCUCAUCUCGCUUUAUCGGCCGAGGGAGCCGACGUACAGCUUCCGGGUCAUGUGGCCAGCAUGACUAAGCCACUUCUGGCGAACCAGAGCAGCGCACGGAAACAACGUUUACCUUCCUGCCAGAGCGGUACCUAUUUAUCUACUUGCACUUUGAGGUGCUUUCGAACAGCUUUCGAACUGCUAGGGUGGCAGGAUAUAGGAGAGCAUUAUUUUCAGUUCUGCCCUAUAUUAGUCCAUGCAUCAUUGUUUUCAUUCCGCUGCAGUUAAUUUUAUGCAAAAUAAUAAUAAUAAUACAUUAUUUGCCCUGCUUUGGUUUUGGCACAAUUGUGCAAAUCACAUGAUCAUUGCACAAUUACAAUGCAAAAGAAAUGCAUUGCAAAGGGGGAGAAAACUUGUAAUCAAUUACAUAUUGUUUUCAGACUGAAAGCUACAGCAACGAAUCCAGACUGCAUUUACUGGAUUGAUUUCAUUUCUGGACAUGGGACAAAUAAGCAAAGAUUGGCAAUUUCCUUUCCUGUUUCUGUUUUCAUUGGAAUUCUCUGACACCUUUACUUCUCCCACAAUGCUUUGACCACCCUGACAAUCUGCGUCAAAAGGCCGUUGUAUUAAUUCAUUAAAAAAGCACACCUUGUAAGCACACCCUUAAAUGUGAUGGAGAAAUACAUGUGCAAAUAGUUAAUGAAGAAGUGAGCCCAGGUCAAGUCAGGCACUUGCUAAGCCUCAAUGGGAAAAUCUUGGUUUACGAACAUCUUGCAUUUUGAAUGUUGAUGUUGGCUGAAAAUUUAGUGGCUUGGAGGCCCACUCCUAAACUGAACCAAAAAGUGUGUUUUUAUGCUUUAAUCAAAUGCCCACAUAAAAUUUCACUCCCCUGGCAGGUUAAAGAAAUAUACGUUUUGCAUUUUAGGGAAAUACUGUUCACAUUUAUUUUUAUGGUGAUUGAGAGUCCCUCCUGGAGAACAAAUUGAUUUCUGAAGCAUUUGCUACAAUAAAAAAUGAAUAAUGCUUUGACUAACACAAACAGAGGGCUUGGAGAGGGGGGGAAAACCCAUGCUCCUAUGCCAUGGGCAACAGAAGGGAAAUCAGCCCUGAGGUUUGCGCCUUUUCCCUUUAUCACCACACAUUAGUCAUUCUACGUUUUCCCCCUGUCACGACUGCUAAUCCUGGGAUGUGCUUUAUGUUUAAAAUGGGACUUUCCCCAUCACAGCAGCAUUCAUGUUAUCACAGAGGACUAACAUUAUAUAUUUCAAAAGCCUAUUGUACAGUUAAAAGAACGGAAUCGAAGCCAUUGGGUGGACGAAUCUAUCCUUGUUGGUUACUCUUCUUUUCUCAUUUUCCCCAAGUUUGGUUUGCCACGUUUCUGCAUAUACUUGCGAUUAUUAACAGCUGUCAGACACACACAAGGCAGCCUUCCCACCUGCCCACGUUUACAGGAAAGCCCAGCUGAGGACAUCAUGGGACUUUCAGAAAAUGUGGACACACAACGAAGGCUGCAAAGAGAAGAUCAAAUGUUUUGCAGAAUGAACGGAUGGACCUUCGCCAACAUCUGCCGGCCACCUCAAAAGAAAGGGAAGCGCAGCAAAAAACACAACAACCCAUGAUCUUUUCAGUUGCAUAUUCCUUCCCCAUUUGAUCAUUUUCAAACAACACAAUUUAUUUCCCUAUCCAUUGAUGGUUGGGGGAAGAAGAAAGAAACAAGGUGAAUUUUUGGCACGGCCCUUGGUCUUAUGUUUUGAAAGCUUAAUCCAUAGAUCUUUCUGCAGAUCAAGCUACUGUCAAAGGGAUGUGAGUAAGCUGGCUAGAUUCUUCCCAAUCAGUUGUCGGUCUGCAGGAAUGCUGUUCCUCUUGUGGGUGGGGCAGAGUUGCUCCAAUCAGCCUUCCUCCGGAAGGGAGGGAGGGGGUAAUCAGCUUGGGACGAGUGUUCCCUUCUUAAACGGAGUGCUGCCUUGAGCUCAUCUUAUUGUUCUUCAAUAUCCUACACUUCCAGCCUUUGAGACAAUGUUAGAAAUUUCAGGGUGUUUGGAUGUACCCACCCACUCCACACUGCCCUCUCCUCUCGAGUUGACUGUUUUGAUGCUCAUUUCAAUUGGCAGUUAGUUCCAGCAGGAAAGCACGCAAGACACACUUGGGUCACAGAACUGUAAAGUUGGAAGGGGCCAGGAGUGCCAUUAGUCCAACUCUGCUUAAUGCAGGAAUCUUUUUGCCCAACGUGGGGCUCAAACCCACAUCCCUGAUAUUAAGAGUCUCAUGCUCUACCAACUGAGCUAUGUGAAGGGCACAUCUUCCUGCCAUUGCCAGCUGGCUUUGGAGGAUAUUUAGUCUGGUGCUCCUGGGGGGCCUGGCAGAUACCCCCUGUUGAAUGCUGAGCAGUGGGUGUUUGGGUGUAUGAAUCAGGUCACAAACACCUUUAUAGGAAGGCAGAAAUCUUUGCUCCUCAUCAUGUCAUCUAGGCUGUUAAAGCACAGCUGGGGUGGUUUUGCCCAGGGUGGUAGAUGGUCACAGUUAGUUUCAUCAUUUUUCAUCAUUUUUAAUUUGUAUACCGUCUUUCUAUCUUACAAUACUCAAGGUGGUUUACAAGCUGAAGACACAAAAAAUGUACAUCUUAUAACAAUCUAAUGCAAUACAAAAAUGUGAUAAUAAAACAUAACUUUAAAAUAGGCAACCUACAUCAAAAGUAGCAGUCAACACUCAUUAGAAUACGGUAGUAUUAAAUAACAAUAACAUAUAAAAGUUAAACAGAAAUCCACUCAGAAGUUACAAUAAAUAAUUUCUAAACUAUUAUCAAUAAAACAACGGCAAGCCACAGUACAUAAAAUAAUACAAUACAAAUUGAGAAGCUUGGUUUUGCAGGUGGUUAUCCUUUAAUAAAUAUAGUCUUAUGCCAGGUUUGGAGAACCUUUGGCCCUCCAUAUGUUGCUGAACCAUAUGUUGCUGAGAGCCAGCAUGGUAUAGUGGUUAAGAGUGGUAGUCUCGUAAUCUGGUGAACCGGGUUCGCUUCCCCGCUUCUCCACAUGCAGCUGCUGGGUGGCCUUGGGCUAGUCACACUUCUCUGAAGUCUCUUAGCCUCACUCACCUCACAGAGUGUUUGUUGUGGGGGAGGAAGGGAAAGGAGAUUGUUAGCCGCUUUGAGACCCCUUAAGGGGAGUGAAAGGCGGGAUAUCAAGUCCAAACUCUAAACGCCAAACUCUGAACUGUAACUCCCAUCAUCUCUGGCCCCUGGCCAUGCUUGCUGGGGCUAGUGGGAAUUGUAGUUGAGCAACAUCUGGAAGGCCAAAGGUAGUCCACACCUGCCUUAUGCCACCAUCCUGUCUCUUGCAUUCCUUCUGAGUGUGAGGGCAAGAAGAGACCCUGUAGCAGGAGGACGGUCAUCUCUAGUCCCCCCCCCCGAAUGGAUUUAGUUUUUCCCUGGCUAUGAUGACUUAUAGACCCAGUGCUUUUAAUUGCUUGGAAUUACAGGUUCCUACUUCUCAAUUAGCCCUGUGGAUAUUUAUGAUAGGCAAUAUUGUGGAUUCAGCAAUUACUUAUCAAGACGCAGAACGAGGGAAGUGUAAAUAGGAAAAGCAUUUGCAUAAAUACCUCAAAUGCCGUACAUCAUCAUUGCUAUCCUAAUGAAUACGGCCACAUGUCAGGUCUUUUGUAUAUGAAAUGACCGGGUCCUGCAUUUAAAUCAAAGUCACACACGGCUCAGUCUUCACUCUUCUCCACGUCGUUAGGCAGGCUGUGGUGAAGGAAGGGAAUUUGUGCCCACUCAGCUUUUUCGGAAAAAUGUCUGUGAUUUACUGACCAAAUCCAGCCAGUUGCAAGCGGUGGAGGAAUUCAGGCUUGGAGAACCGAGCAAUCUGGCUAUCAGCGAUGCAGGAAAGUGUUCUGUUCAGAGAGUCUAUAAAAUGGCAGUGCAGCCCGUCACCAGAGCCCUGAAGCAGAACAGGGCAAAAAUAUAUAUAAAGUACUAAAGCUUGUUGAAGAGAGCAUUUUGGGAAACUUUAAUGCAAAUCAUAAUGCAAGUCCCUUGAAAGGACACGUUUGAAAAGGAGCUCUUUUUUCUCUGUCUCUGUCUCAUUACAGGGCUGCACAUCUAGUAAUUUGGCAGAGCGGUAGGAACAGCAUGAUAGGCAGAAAUCUAACGGGUGCAGCUUUCCUCAUAGCUGCAUUUCUAUGGCAGGAAAAGUUGCUUUCUGUUGAUCACACAGUUUUCGAACUCACAGGAGUCUCUCAGGAGGAAAACGUUGGCAGCCUGCAUUCACCCUAACACUGUAUCAUUUAUGAACAAGUUUAAAAGCACAGGUACUGGCGGCUAAUAGAUUGAGGUUGAAUCCUGACAAGACAGAAGUACUGUUUUGGGGGGACAGGAGGCAGGCAGGUGUGGAGGACUCCCUGGUCCUGAAUGGGGUAACUCUGCCCCUGAAGGACCAGGUGCGCAACCUGGGAGUCAUUUUGGACUCACAGCUGUCCAUGGAGGCCCAGGUCAAUUCUGUAUCAAGGGCAGCUGUUUACCAACUCCAUCUGGUACGUGGGCUAAGACCCUACGUGCCCACGGACUGUCUUGCCAGAGUGGUGCAUGCUCUGCUUAUCUCUCACUUGGACUACUGCAAUGCAUUCUAUGUGGGGCUACCUUUGAAGGUGACCCGGAAACUACAACUAAUCCAGAAUGCGGCAGCUAGACGGGUGACUGGGAGCGGCCACUGAGACCACAUAACACCAGUUUUGAAAGACCUACAUUGUCUCCCAGUACAUUUCCGAGCACAAUUCAAAGUGUUGGUGCUGACCUUUAAAGCUCUAAAUGGCCUUGGUCCAGUAUAUCUGAAGGAGCGUCUCCACCCCCAUUGUUCUGCCCAGACACUGAGGUCCAGCCCCGAGGGCCUUUUGGCAGUUCCCUCACUGCGAGAAGCCAAGUUACAGGGAACCAGGCAGAGGGCCUUCUUGGUAGUGGCACCCACCCUGUGGAACGCCCUCCCACCAGAUGUCAAAGAGAACAACAACUACCAGACUUUUAGAAGACAUCUGAAGGCAGCCCUGUUUAGGGAAGCUUUUAAUGUUUGAUGGACUUCUGUAUUUUAAUAUUUUGUUGGAAGCCGCCCAGAGUGGCUGGGGAAACCCAGGCAGAUGGGCAGGGUAUAAAUAAUAAAUUAUUAUUAUUAUUAUUAUCCUUGAGGGAUUGCAUUUUCUACUUCUCUCCAUUCAGAGAACUGUGCUUUUACUCCACCUCUCUCUGUUGUUGUUGUUGUUGUUGUUAUUGUUGCUUAGUUGUUUAGUCAUGUCCAACUCUUUGUGACCCCAUGGACCAGAGCAUGCCAGGCACUCCUGUCUUCCAUCUCUCUGCUCCCUGCUAAUUCACCAAUUCGUGAUCUGCAAGAUGUCCUCUCUUCUUAUUCCUUGACUGCUAAGCUUACUCAGGAGUCUUUGGUGAGGCACCUUCUCAAAAGCUUUUUGAAAGUCCUAGUACGGUGCCAACCACAUUCCCUCUAUCAACAUUCUUGUUGACACUCUCAGAGAACUUUAAUAGGUUUGUGAGACACGGCUUGCCUUUGCAGAAGCCACCCUGGCUCAGCUUCAUGAUCUACAAUGGUAUUCUUUGAUUUUGUCAUCAGUCAGACAUUUGGGGCAGGCAUUCUGAGGUGGUCAGAGAGAAGUGUAAUGGUGUAUUCACAUGAAUUUUAACACAAAAGCGAUUUCCGUUGUGCUCAAUGGUGCUUACAGCUAGGAGAAUUUUAACUCAAAAGCAAUUCCCAUUGUGUUCAAUAGGGCUUAUAUCUAGAGUUGGAAACUAUUUCCAGUCCAUGCCCAUUUUAUGUGCAUUCACUCGUAAGACCAUUCCGGCCUGUUGCUGCAUGGAUCUGCAUUUUUAAAAUCUGCACAAAAACCUGCAUUUAAUAUUUACUUUCUCUCAGGAUAUGCAUGCUUAUAUUUGUGUGUACAAAAGCACGUGGAGGGUGACGUUCCAAUCAAUGGGUCGGUCCCAGAGUCGCAGAUCAGUUCCAGCAUUCGGAAAUAUCUAAUUGCUCAAGCAUCUCUGCUGAUGCCGAUCUUGCUCCCAUGACAAGCUAGAAUGCAGUGCAAGGGAGAAGCACCGAGAAAGCGGAAGAGGUUGCAAAAGCAGUUGUGGGGAGUUGAAGGGGAGGAGACAGCUGAGGGGAGGCAAGAGAAAGGAGGAAGGGAAAGAGAUGCAAGCAAGUAAACAUCGCACAAAAAGUAAGACGUGGCAAGACGUGGCAAUUCCCAAGUAUGGGAAUGUUCAGGAAUGCAGGAGAGGAUACAUCGUUUGAUUAUAACCUUUCCAACUUGUGUAUACAAGUUCACAAUUUAGCAGAGUAACACUCCCCCUUUUAAACUCACAGCGGAUGCAUUUGCUCAGGCUCGCUAAAGCCUCUAUAAUAACUGUUCUGGUAUUUUCCCCUUAUUCCUUCAGAAAAGAUAAGACACAACACAGUCUUCUAUAAAAGUAUAAAAGGAGUUUACUCACUCACAUUCUGUUCGCAAUCGGAUCCCAGAAGGCAGACUUAUCUUAGAAAAGUAACAUAAACCUGGAAACUAUUUCAUAAAGAGACAGUUCCUUUGUCCUCUCUUGGCUGGAAGCCAAGAGAGUAUCUUUGGCUGGAAGCCAAGAGAGUAUCUUUGGCUAAGCAGACGUUGCUUCUUCGACAAAAGUAGUCAGAGAGAGAGAGAGAGAGAGAGAGAGAGAGAGAGAGUCCUAUGCUUUUGUUACCUGCACAGGUGAGGCCGCACCCACCUCUAGUCACAUGCAGAGGAAGUCUAUCCCAGCCUAGGAGAAACAGGAAGUUCCGACUGGCUGGUCCAGACAUCCCCUUCUAUGUCCACUCUAGGGAUGUUGUACUUGACUGCUCUUGUGUUUCACAUCUCACAAGAAGUCUCCUAACAACUCUCAGCACUUUUAGCACUUCCUAGACUUGUCGGGGGAAGCCGCAGCUGUUUAAAAUGGUAUGCUGCUGCUUUGAACAUAUUGUGCAGAUGGGGCCUGUAUCUCACAGGAAUGCAGGAAGCUGUCUUAAUACUUGGUCAGAUGUCUUUAUGAUCUAAGCCAUUAUAUUCUGAUUGGCGUGCAGCUCUCUGGGCUCUUGGGCAAAGGCCUUUUCAUUCGCCAACUGCUUGAUCCUUGUAGUUGUGAGACUCUAGCUCCCAUCAUCCCUUGCCAGCAUGGCCAAUGUGAAGGGGUGAGGUGAGGUGUAGUUCAGCAUCACUUCCUGCACACAGGUCCCCCAGCCCACCUGCUUGACAAAUGACAACAACAACAACAACAACAACAACAAUAAUAAUUUGAUAUUUAUACCCCGCCCAUCUGGCUGGGCUUCCCCAGCCACUCUGGGCGGCUUCCAAAAAAAUAUUAAAAUACUGUAAUACAUCAAACAUUAAAAGCUUCCCUAAACAGGGCUGCCUUCAGGUGUCUUCUAAAAGUCUGGUAGUUGUUCUCUUUGACAUCUGGGAGGGCAUUCCACAGGGAGGGCGCAACUACCGAGAAGGCCCUCUGUCUGGUUCCCUGUAACUUUGCUUCUCGCAGUGAGGGAACCGCCAGAAGGCCCUCAGUGCUGGACCUCAGUGUCCAUGCAGAACAAUGGGGGUGGAGACGGUCCUUCAAGUAUACUGGACAAGACGUGGAGACCCAAGGAAUUGAACCUGGAUGUUCUUCAGGCAAAGUUUGAGUUCUGCCACCAAGCUCUGCUCCAUCCUUCUUUAGGAUUUUAAAAACUUUGAUGGGCGCACAGCUUUUCAGUCGAUCUCUUCCGGAAAGAUGGCAGUCUUAACUUUAGAAUGGGUGUUGCAAGCCACACUCCUCCGGAAAAGUUAUUAUUCUGGUAGGUUUUGCAAGGUCGGUUAAUUAACACUGGGAGGCAAUCUCCAAAUGUAAGUUGUUUUGCAGUCAAGGGACUCGUUCCGCCUACACAGAAGCGCCAUUGCUAAUUGAAAGUGUGUAAUUUCAUUGACCAAGUCGCAGAAGACACCGAGGCAAAAUACAUCCUUGCUUUUUUUGCAGGGCUUGUUUUAUGGAAUGCUAUUACGCCUGACAGGUGGCGCGUGUGCAUGGCAGAUUGCAUGAAGAACGCAUCACUAGGUAAGACGCUGCUAUCUCACAUCCAUCCAGCAGAAACAAGGGAGAAAUGAUUGAUCUUUCCUGCUCUCUGUCUUCCAUAGACCAGUUCAAUUGCUUUAAAACGAUUUAAAAGGGGUGUGGGUGGGGGAGAGCACCAGAUAGAUAACUCAGGAGAAAAAUUCUGAGUGAUUCUCAGCUUCUUAUUCUUUUUGGAUCACAGCAUAUUUCCCAUUCUCUUGUAUUGAAAUAUUUUUGUUUCUUCCUCUGAAAACUUAUUUUUGAAGCCACACAUCUGAACGUUAUUUCUUAUCCAACCUUCCCUAUUUCAUAACAGAUGGUGGGGGAAAAGCCAGAGUUUGGCUCAGUUAGGGGUUGCCAUAUUUCAAAUAAUGAAAACCAGAACCCCCCAUUUUUUUAGGAAACCACCAAAUUUGAAAUUUGAAACACUUAAGAUUUUUCUAUUGACUUGCCUAAUAUCCAGGAAAUCCUCCCCCCCCCCAAGACAUCAAUUCCACCUCUGAAAUUCUGGUAAUGCCCGGGAAAAUCUGGACGUAUGGCAGCCCUAGGCUCAGUCAAACUCUGUGGACCACGAUCAUACAGAUGAUUUCAUGUUGGCCCCCUUUUCAUAUUUAGAAGGAAAGGCCACGCCUCAGUGGUAGAGCACCUGCUUUGCUUGCAAAAAAAAAGGUGCCCGGUUCAAUCCACAGCAUCUCCAGGUGACCACAGAGGGAGCCAGUGUAGUGUAGUGGUUAGAGCCUCAGGCUAGGACCUGGGAGACCAGAGUUCAAAUCCCCACUGGGUGACCUUGGGUCAGUCCCUGCCUCUUAGCCUAACCUAUUUCACAGGGUUAUUGUUGGGGUUAAAUGAGGGGAGGGAGAACCAUGUAUAACUCCUUGGAGGAAAAUAUGGGAUAUGAAUGUGGUUGGCAAAUAAGAAAGAAAGAAAGAAAUUGGAGUGGAGAUUUCAGCACAACUCCAGCACAAAUUACCUCUCCGGAGUCCUGACACGCAGUGUGAAUAGCCACUUGAGUGGAUCUUUACUGGCCCUUUGACCCAACGGAGAUUGGUAUGGCAUGAAAGAGAAAUCCCUAGAAAUUCAUUAAAACCUGGAAUCAGUCAGAAGCUGAUGAUUAUUCAGUUGUCGGUAUUGUGACUCCUUCUUUUAGCAUGCAGCAGAUGAAAGACCCUGGUAAUAUUAUGGUCAGGAUUUAUUUAUUUAUUUUUUAAAAAAAGUAUAUAAAACUUCAAUAAAAGGAUAUGGUCCAACCAUCACUGGAAAAGAAAGAGGAUUUUCCACUCAGGUAGGGGUGGAUUUUGGGGGGUGGGAGGCUGGUGUGUGUAAUAAGGCUUGUAGAUGCCAAAAGGGAAGUCUAGAGUGCCCAUUCCGGCAAAGGGACAGUAUUUGUUGUAAUGACAAGAUGAGUAGAUGGCCGCUAAGACAGAGGGAAGAUAAAAGGCCCAAGGAUCCUUGGGGAAUCCCAUCGCCUCCUUGUGAACUGCUGGAAACGCAGUCAAACAUCAAGUGUAUUGUGUGGGGCGGGUGCCAAUUAUCUGAAAGCCUGUCUCUCCCCAAGAUCUCUUGCAGGCUUGCUUGAGACGUCUCUUGCAGCCCCGAGGAUAAUAGAAUAUGCUCUUUUCUUCUCUGACUAGUAAAGCAUCGCAAAAUAGAAUUAUUAGUCUAAAUACGCAUUGCCUACAAAAUGUAAAUCCAGCAAUUAGGACCGUCCCUGGUGGUGCCCCUCUAAUGAGUUUCACCAUAUUCCUUGUGUGGCUGUAGGGAACUGGCUUGUUGGAACAGUGGGGCCUGGCUCAUUUGCAGAAGGGAUUCUCGGGAUAUAAGCAUUUUAUUAUUAUUAUUAUUGUUAUUAUUAUUAUUUCCUCGACACACACAAAAAUACAUAAAAGAGAAAUGAAAGCGCUCGCUUCCUAAGCAACAUUUAUCUCCAUCAGUUUUGACUUUCUGAAGUUCACAAGAGGGAGAGGAUGAGAAUGAAGCAGCGCAGACGAUUAGAUAAGAUGCCAGUCCUCCCGUCACACACAAAAGACGACAUAAAAGAGAGCUGUGGGUUACAUCUCAAGGCAAGCCCACAAAAACCUGCGUUAUUCCCACAACGGGCCCCAUAGGUGCCUGUUAAAAACGUCUUCUUCUGUUGCAUUGAAUCACAUGGGGAAAACUGGAAUAUUAGCUACGAGCUAAAAAGCAUGCUUCCAUAGAUUGCCGCCUUUGCAGCUGCAGAGCCAGGAACCGCACCUAAUGACCAGCUCGUAAUGAUAUGUGUCAAACCCCCUUCUAUAAAGUCGCAACAGAAGACCUUUCUAAUCUAAAUGGUACCUGCUGGGCUUGCCUUGUCUUCUCUGGCUCCAGGGGUGUCAGGCACCCCGGUGAGAGACACCCCGGAGACAACACACCCCGUGAUAAUCUGAUUAUCAUUUGUCAUGAUGGGCAGAUAACAACAUAAGUAUUGAACCAGCCUGAUUGCCAUCUCCACUUCAAGGGACGUAUCUUGACAGUGUUAUUUCACUGCAUUAUGUGCAUGGGCUCCCUCUCCCUCUCCCUCUUUCUCUCUGCUGUUCUUUACAGUGGCUGCCUGUGGAGCAGUGGAAUGAAUAUAAAACAGCAGCAUCCCUGGAUCGUAAGGCCUUGAAUAGUGCAUAUACCUUACAUACAUUCUGGGAGCCCCCAAGGUGACUGUGUACUGUGGAGUACUGUGUCCAGUUCUGGGCACCACAGUUCAAGAAGGACACUGACAAACUGGAAUGUGUCCAGAAACCAAAAUGGUCAAAGGCCUGGGAAUGAUGCCUUAUGAGGAACGGCUAAGGGAGCUGGGCAUGUUUAGCCUGGAGAAGAGGAGGUUAAGGGGUGAUAUGAUAGCCAUGUUCAAAUAUAUAAAAGGAUGUCACAUAGAGGAGGGAGAAAGGUUGUUUUCUGCUGCUCCAGAGAAGCGGACACGGAGCAAUGGAUCCAAACUACAAGAAAGAAGAUUCCACCUAAACAUUAGGAAGAACUUCCUGACAGUAAGAGCUGUUUGACAGUGGAAUUUGCUGCCAAGGAGUGUGGUGGAGUCUCCUUCUUUGGAGGUCUUUAAGCAGAGGCUUGACAACCAUAUGUCAGGAGUGCUCUGAUGGUGUUUCCUGCUUGGCAGGGGGUUGGACUCGAUGGCCCUUGUGGUCUCUUCCAACUCUAUGAUUCUAUGGUUCUAUGAUUCUAUGACUCUUGGUGUGCAGGAUCUGUCCACUGGUAGAGGGAUCCUUGCCCACCAUCAGCGCUUCAUCUUAAGGGUGCCAUAUUUCAAAAAAGUGAAAAUCCAGACACAAAAGUUAUUGAACAAGAUCUCAAAAAUUAACUGAAAAUUAAACUGAAACUGACACGGGGGCAAAUAGAAGAAGACACCUUCACCCCGGUAUGGCUGCCCUUUAUCACAUACACAGCCCAACAAGACAACGACAAAAAUCCUUGAAGAACAGAGGAUCUGAUGAACGGAUUAUUAAAAAUGUGUGAGGCAAACGGUGGAAGUCUUUAAAAAACAAAAAACACUUUUUAAGGUAGAUAAGGACAAGAUGGAAUUAUACAAUUGAAUAUAAAUAUAGAUGGGAAACGGCUAUGUAUAGUGAAUACUUAUCUACUUUUAAAAAUUUUCACCUAUGAUCCUUUUCUUUUACUUCUUUAUUUUUUCUUUGUACUUUUUUUCUUUUUUCUGAUAUCUUUCAUUUCACUCCUUUAUUGUGAUUGGCAUUUUAUAGAAGUAUAAAUAAUUGUAAAUAUGAAAAGAGACAAAGUAUUCUCUAUUUUUUUUUCUUGGUUAUAUGUAUUUUCUUUUUCUUUUGUAUUUUCUUUUGUUGUAAAUAUGUAUGUUUUCUAAUUUGUACUUAAUAUUUAUUUUUUUUUAAAAAAAGACAAUGACAAAAAUCCACCAACAUCAUACAAAUCAAUAUAGUGGUACUUCGGGUUACAUACGCUUCAGGUUACAGACUCCGCUAACCCAGAAAUAGUACCUUGGGUUAAGAACUUUGCUUCAGGAUGAGAACAGAAAUUGUGUUCCGGCGGCACGGCGGCAGCUGGAGGCCCCAUUAGCUAAAGUGGUGCUUCAGGUUAAGAACAGUUUCAGGUUAAGUACGGACCUCCGGAACAAAUUAAUUAUUUAACCCGAGAUACCAGUGUAUGGCUAACCUGAUGCAAAACACCCACCCACCCCACUCACACAUGAAAACAAAGGCCACCACAGCCAACCACAAAUGAAUAACCACACCCUAGGCCAAUCCCAACCUCUCUCACCACCAAAGGAACACAAGUGAACAGCAAAGAACCUGCACAAGCAACGCUGACACCAAACCAUAUGUAUAGUAAGUAAAAUAGAAACAUCACCACCCGACCCCACCUCCACCCCUCUUCCCUCCUUCCAUCUCUUUCCCUCUUUUCUUCCUAAUGUCUCAACAAAUGAAACUGAUUUGUUAAAAUGUUACAUGGGGGGGGGAAAUACAAGAGAGAGACAUUGCACACACUUUUGUAAAUCAAUAAAAUAUAUAAUUAAAAAAAGAUUUUUAAAAAAAGGAGAGAGAAGUAUUUGAGCAUUUUUUAAUGGAAAUUUGCCAAAAGCUACACUUCCAACUUUCUGCCCAGACACUGUUUCCGAAGACCAAAUCCCAGCAAUGUCCAAGAAAUUCCGGACGUAUGGCAACCCUGCUUCUGGACAUAUGUGACAUUUAGAUAUUUGCUGGGUUGGGUCCCUAACUGCAGGGUACAUGCUAAAGCCAGACUGAAAUCCCCCUCUCUGUUGACUGCAAAUGUUCUCCCCCCGCCCUUGAAAAUGGGAUGGUUUGCUCUGUGCUUUCUUGUACACAUAGGAAGCUCUCCUAUCUUUUCCAGAGCUGGUUGCCACUUGCUGGGUCACACCAGGAAGUGAAGUCAGCAGGCAGUCAUGGAGAGAGGCUUGUGCUACUUCCUGCUGAAUGCCUCGGGGCUGAUGCAAUGUGGCAUGAUGUCAUGGCACUCACAAGGCAGUGUAGCCAUUCCAUCCAGUGCCAAGCAGUGGAGAGCACAUUGUACCACUGUGAGCAGUGCUGAGUUUUAGAAGCAUGGGGAAAAUGGAAAAUCCUUGGCCACCUUGUAUGGUUAAAUAAGGCAAGUAGCAACCACCUUCUGAGCAUUUUGGAGAGAUUUCUUUCCUCCUCCUCAACUUUUCAUUUCACACCCAUUGAUUCUCCUAAUGAGAUGCUCAGUUUCCCGGUUCAAAUGCUCCCUCGCCUUUUUUCCAUCUACCUGGUAGAGGUGAAAGGUAAAGGUAAAGGACCCCUGGAUGGUUACGUCCAAUCAAAGGCGACUAUGGGGUUGCAGCGCUCAUCUCGCUUCAGGCUGAGAGAGCCAAUGUUUGUCCACAGACAGCUUUCUGGUAUAGAAGACAUCUGAAGGCAGCCCUGUUUUGGGAAGUUUUUAAUGUUUGAUGUUCUAUUGUGCUUUUAAUUCUGUUGGGGACUGCCCAGAGUGGCUGGGAAACUCAGCCAGAUGGGUGGGGUAUAAAUAAUAAAAUGAUGAUGAUGUGGCCAGCAUGACUAAACCGCUUCUGGCGCAAUGGAACACCGUGAUGAGUGCCAGAGCGCACAGAAACACUGUUUACCUUCCCACCACAGCGGUACCUAUUUAUCUACUUGCACUGGUGUGCUUUCGAACUCCUAGGUUGGCAGGAGUUGGGACAGAGCAACGGGAGCUCACCCUGUCACGGGGAUUUGAACCGCUGAACUUCCAAUUAGCAAUUCCCAAGGGCUCAGUGGUUUAGACCACAGCGCCACCUAGUAGAAGUAGCACACUGGGCCUAGAAGACCAGGGGAGAGUGGAGUCUUGCAGUCAAGGAGGAUAGAACUAUCAUUGCCUAUUAAUGGCUAUUUUCUCCUUCCACCAUAGGUGCCAACUUGAACAAAAUAUUCUGAUAAGGUCUCUUGCUUGCCUGGAUGUAGGAAAGGAAAGGGUCUGGGAGCGCUUGGGGAAAAACUAGCAUAUUAUACAAAGGUAAGAUUUACAUUCGUUGCUUCACUCACUUUUGCCUCUGACCAGUGAUGGCUGGUCCACCAACCCCAGUCUGCCCCCACCUGCAGGUUUUCUCACUUGCAACUGGUCGAGGGGUGAAUGCUUCUUGUCACCUUCUUCCUCCUUAGUCUCCUUGUAGAAUUCAGCGAGAGAGAAGGGUGGGGGAAAACUAAAAUGUCAUUGGCUCUGGCGCCUCCUACUUUGGGCUCCUUGCCUCCUGCCCCACCAGCCAGCACUGCAGUCAUAUGACUGCAUUCACAUGACCUCUGGAAUGUUGCCCAGGUGUGAAUGUGGACCCUGGUCUGAAAAACCUUUCCCUUCCCUGAUGCAUUGCAAUCAAUUGUCUGCUUCCUUCGUAGGAGUUGAAGUAAAUUGUGGGUCUGAAACUCUUCCCUGGCACUAAAUUUCCCACACGUGACUGACCUGUGCCAGCUUGAUAUGUGCCCCAAUUUAUGCCAUGUUAAGGUACCCCAACUCCUGCCAACCUAACAGUUUGAAAACACACCAACAAGUGCAAGUAGAUCAAUAGGUAGGGAAGUAGGCAAGUAGACCUCCGGCGGGAAGGUAAACGGCUGCUCUGGUUUUGGUGUUCCAUUGCGCCAGAAGGGGCUUAGUCAUGCUGGCCACAAAACUGUCUGCAGGCAAACGCCGGCUCUCUCGGCCUGUAAAGCUAGAUGAGCGGCGCAACCCUAGAGUCGUCUGCGACUGGACUUAACUGUCAGGGGUCCUUUACCUUUUUUUAAAGGUAGCCCAAACACUGUGCAUCCCCUUUGCGUAGAAAAUGCUUACUUUAUCUUUUCCAAGCUGACUAAGGUAUCUCAACAGCAAGCAGCAUGAGCCCGCCAGUUUUCACAUACUGAAGAAAUCCACAGAUUCGGAUCAAAAAGGACCUUCUGUGGCGAUAAAAAGCCGCAAGCCUUUUUCUAGUCUGUCAGCGAGGAAGGAGAACCAUAAAGCAGGAAUGGCAAAUAUUACCCAUUCAGGAGGGGCUGGAAAUCAAAAGAGGCCUGUUCUUCCUUCUCACUCCCCUCAGUUCCACAUCACCUGAAGUAUUUGAACUUGGCCAGGCAGUGAGAAGAUGGCAGCUCUGAGGGCGUUUCCUCACCCCCACCCCAAUUAAAGAAGCACACAGCAAGUUUGGUUUUGAGAAGCAAGUCAACGCACGACUCUCCAAAUGCUCUCUCGACUUUCUGGAGCCCCGAGCUGUGGAGAAAGGGACAGAACAAGCCACAGCGAGGGCUCUUUAUUAGCUCUGAGGAGAACAGAAUUGUGAAAUGAUCAAACAUCUUUGUCAGAUGCUGUGGCUGCCCAUGCUAGGCCCCUUUCAUGCCGGGCAGUUUGAAGGCCGUCCAUGUUUGCCGUUGGCCUCACAGUCGUCUCAUCAACUUGGCGGGCAAGGCUGGCAUCACCCUUUAUUAUUUAUGGUCGCCUUUCUGGUCCUCCACCUUCUUAGCGGCCUCGCCAAGACAAGGAAACAAAGUUUAAUAAUGAAAUAAUCGUGUGCUCUUGGGCUGAGGUGGCCAUGGCAGCAGCGGGGUGGAAAAACCGCUUGAAAGGAGAAGGACAUAAAAGGGAGCGGCUGGAGCUCUGUGAGCCUUGGUGGGCUGGAGAAAAAGCCCUGCUGCCUCUUGUCUGAAGACCAAAGAAGCAGGGGAGCUGGGGCGAGCGAAAGAUGGCAAUUUGAAAAGGCCAAACCGAGGAGCAGAGCGGCGAAACCCUGCAGCUGUUGAGGAGAGGCGCCAAUGCCAGGGCGAGAGGCCCAGCAACAAAAGGCAUUGAUUUGUGUUUUUGUAGGUUAAGAAAAUAGUUUGCUUUUCAGGAGCGCAUUAAAAAUAAAAUAAAGCCAAAAUGAAUUAUUAAAGGAUUUCUUCUGCAGUAGAAAGCGAGAUGGGAAAGAAAAGAAGGAACCAUCGUGGCUUCUGCUCUGAGUUACGCAAUCUUAUGGGAGGGGGAAAUGUUGCCUUUCUGAAUUCAGAAUUUGGAGUGCUGAUCAUUUGCAACACACACCUUAAACAAGUGCGCCCAGGAAGAGGCCAGGAGGUGACUGCAGUGGAUGGAAUAGACUUAUUUCUUAAACCGUUAGUUUUCAGAGGCAACUUUCUGCUUGGCAGAAAGAGAGACAGAGAUGAAAAUGUGCAGCUGCUCUGUACAGAAAGACACGACACUGACUUUAUAGGACAUUGAUCUGAUUUGGGGUGUUUAUUGGCAUCCUUCUUUGACUCAGGUGGGCACACACACAGAGUCUAUGAACACUCUUGCAUUUUGCAUCGUACCUCCUCUGGGGUGAUACUUCUGCUUCUGGUAUAAUGCAGAGACAAAUAGCACCUCUAAUCUCAAUUUGUCAAAAGCUUCAUCAUGACCAACAAUGGAAGAAUCAUUGUUAAAAUUAUUGGACUUAGUUGAGAUGGCGAGGUUGACGUGUUUCAUCAUAGGAAAAUCAUUGCCAGCAUUUACUAAAGGUUGGAAAAUUCUUAUAGACUUUUUGCAUGAAAAAGAAAAUGAACUUACAAUAUUUGGGUUUAGGGAUCGAAGAUACUGUUGUUUUAUAGAAAGCAGAGUUGCUGGCUGUUAUCUUGGAGUGGAUGUAUUGAAUAAUUUUCUAGAUAUAGCUGAUCAGAAUUUCUCUUUCUCCGCCUUUUCUCCUCCCCUUUCUAUCCUUUUUUCUUUUUUCCCUUUAUUUUUUCUUUCUUUCUUUUUCUGGUCUGUGUUUUUAUUUAGAUUAACUUUUUAGUUUUGAUAAAAGGAUAUCUGACAUUCAUCUUUUUAUUCUCCUGAACUUUUAAUAUAAUCUAUUAUAUUAAAAUAAUAUAAGGACGCGGGUGGCACUGUGGGUUAAACCACAGAGCCUAGGACUUGUCGAUCAGAAGGUCGGUGGUUCGAAUCCCUGCGACGGGGUGACCUCCUGUUGCUCGGUCCCUGCUCCUGCCAACCUAGCAGUUCGAAAGCACGUCAAAGUGCAAGUAGAUAAAUAGGUACCGCUCCGGUGGGAAGGUAAAGGGGUGUUUCCGUGCGCUGCUCUGGUUCGCCAGAAGAGGCUUAGUCAUGCUGGCCACAUGACCCGGAAGCUGUACGCCGGCUCCCUUGGCCAAUAAAGCGAGAUGAGCGCCACAACCCCAGAGUCGGCCACGACUGGACCUAAUGGUCAGGGGUCCCUUUACCUUUACAUAUUUUUUUUAAAGAAGCCAUCAGUUAGCAUCCUACGGUACUGAGUUCCAAAGAACACAGUGCCAUGGAUUGAGACAACAAUGCUUCUGAGUGCAAGUUGCUGGAAACCACAGGAGAGGGGAGUGCUGUUGUGCCCAGGUUCAUCAUAUGGGUUCUGCAGAGGCACCUGGUGAGGCACCUGUGAGAACAGGAUGCUGGACUAGAUGGGCAUUGGCCUGAUCCAACAGGGCUCUUCAUAUGUUCUUAAAAAGAGAUCUCCUUCCCGCACUUUAAACCUCUCUGCGCUAGUUAGCAGCCAGAUUGCCCCCAUAAGGGGAGUUGCUAGAGACAACAAGUUUGAUGCACAAAGUAGAUCUGAAGAGAAAAGGAGACGAAGAAGGGUAACAAAUGUUCGGUGUCUGAAGCAAUCCUGUUUUCUGUCAAGCCCAGAUCCCAGAUGACUCCUUUCUUCAUUUGUGCUUUGGGGAAAUGGGGAGACUUGGAAACACACAACAGCUUAGACUCAGAUGUGGGAAGCUUGUACUUUUCAAUCUCAGUCCCUUUUGGAACCUUUACCAUUAUACUGAUCACUUGCAAUCAAAGAAUGAUAGUAACAGUACAGAUGUCUUUUUCUUUUUUCUUUCCAGCAGAUCAGAAGCUAAUAGUUUUAGGGGGUGGGGUGGGGGGGAAAGAGAUCCUCCUUGUGUGUUCUGUCAUGGACAGUUCCCUCAUCCAGUUUCCUCAUCUGCGUUGUCUGUUCCGCCGCAGACGUUUCCUUGUAGUUCUUGAUGAAAUAGUCUUGGAGCCUUUUCUUUUCACACAAGAAAAGAACGAGACUCCCACCUGCUUUGCAUAAGGGCUUCUUUUCUCUCCUCCAUUUAAAAAAAAUUAUUUUCAGAUUUUUAUAUUAGCAUUAUUUCCAUACCCUACAAACACUUUUCAUAUAUACAGUACGGGGAUUAUACAAACCCCUCAGACUUCCCCCAAUAAAUGACAACAACAACAACAACUUAUUUAUAUCCCGCCCAUCUGGCUGGGUUUCCCCAGCCACUCUGGGCAGUUCCAAGCAGAAUAUUAAAAACACGUUAAAACUUCAAUCAUUAAAAACUUCCUUAAACAGGGCUGCCUUCAGAUGUCUUCUAAAAGUCAGAUAGUUAUUUAUUUCCUUGACAUCUGGAGGGAGGGUGUUCCAAAGGGCAGGCACCACUACCAAGAAGGCCCUCUGUCUGGUUCCCUGUAACUUCACUUCUCGCAGUGAGGGAACCACCAGAAGGCUCUCGGCACUGGACCUCAGUGUCUGGGCUGAACAAUGGGGGUGGAGACGCUCCUUCAGAUAUACUGGACCGAGGCCAUUUAGGGCUUUAAAGGUCAGCACCAACACUUUGAACUGUGCUCAGAAAUGUCCUGGGAGCCAUUGUAGCUCUUUCAGGACUGGUAUUAUAUUGUCCCAGUGGCCACUCCCAGUCACCAGUAUAGCUGUCACAUUCUGGAUUAGUUGUAGUUUCCAGGUCAUCUUCAAAGGUAGCCCCACAUAGAGCGCAUUUAUGGGAAAUUGCAUCCAAUUACCAGUAUGCACAUUUUAUGUGAAAAUUGUGUAAGAACAUAAGAAGAUCCCAUCUAGAUCUGGCCUAAGAAGAGCCCAUCUAGAUCUGGCCUAUUUCCCUACUUUCUGUUUUCCACAGUGGCCAACCAGAUGCCUUGAUGGGAAACCCACCAGCACAACAUGAUCCUGUUGGAUUUCUAUUCCUCUCACUGUGCAGAUAUGUAGGAUUGGUUCAUCACAUGUCUGUGUUAUGCAUUCCAGUACUGACUGUUGGAAUCACGGGAGCGGAUGUUUACUGUACUCUGUUUCCGUUUGUUUUUGCUUUCACUUCUGACUUCUCUCUGAGGAAGACCAGAGAGAGGAGACAUGUUUUCUUUUGUUCUGCCUUAUGCUUAAUAAAGGGAUGGGGGUGGCGCUGUGGGUUAAACCACAGAGCCUAGGACUUGCCGAUCAGAAGGUCGGCGGUUCAAAUCCCCUCAAUGGGGUGAGCUCCCGUUGUUCGGUCCCUGCUCCUGCCCACCUAGCAGUUCGAAAGCAUGUCAAAGUGCAAGUAGAUAAAUACGUACCACUCCGGCAGGAAGGUAAACAGCCUUUCCAGGCGCUGCUCUGGUUUGCCAGAAGUGGCUGUCAUGCAAGCCACAUGACCCGGAAGCUGUACGCUGGCUCCCUCGGCCAAUAAAGCGAGAUGAGCACCACAACCACAGAGUCGAUCACGACGGGACCUAAUGGUCAGGAGUCCCUUUACCUUUAUGCUUAAUAAAGUAGCUUUAGUGCUCACAACCUCAGUCUAGCUCUGACUGUGUUUAUCUCUGCUGCUCUCUGAAUAUGUGCUAAGUGUCUCCAAGACAUGAGUCACUAUAAAUAGUCGGGGAAGGUGAUUCAGAACUCCGUAGAGCUGCACGCUGCACGCUGAUGGGAGAGACAGGCUGGAAUCGUUCCUGUUGUAUGUCUUGGGGUCGUCCUAGCCCCCGGCUGACCCGACAGAUCCCAUUUGCCUUCCCCUGUUGUUAUUUGCCAGCCAUUAAGAACAAAAGAAGAGUCCUGUUGGAUGAGGCCAAAGGCCCACCUAGUCCAACUAUCUGUUCUUGCUGUGGCCAACCAGACGCUCAUGGGAAACCACAAACAAGACUUGAGCACAGCAGCCUUCUCCCUACCUGUGAUUCCCAGCAACUGGGACACAGACAGCUAAGCUGCCUUAUAUACCAAAUUGGACCACUGGCCCAUCUAGUUCAGUACUGUCUACACUGGUUGGCAGCAUCUCUCUAGUGUCCAGAUGGGAGGCUCUCUCAGCUCUGCCUGAAUAUAUUGCUGAUUGAUUCUAGGAACCUUCUGCAUAUAAAGAAGGUGUUCUACCACUGAGCUGCAGUGGUAUUCAGAAGCAACCUUCCUCCGACCAUGGAGGCAAAGCAUGCAAAAUGCAUAUUAUUUAAAUGUGGAUUUUGCACAUUUGAAAACCCAGCACAAAACAGGGUGGAGCGGACCUAUGAUUGUGCUUCUAUGAUUCUGCAAGGGGACAGCAUCAGUCUGCUCAGUCCAUCCUGACUAGAAUCACAUCCCUACAGUCUCUUCUUGGGAUGUGACAUAUCAGCGAAAGGAAAGGCAGGGCUUGGUGGAGGAGGAAGGGGGAAAACUAAAUUUAUUGGAAAGCAUCGGGCACUCAUACGAGGAGCUUUAUAAAUAGACUUCACUGUACAUAAAUCCCCGGACUGUAAUGGCAACAGAUAAGCUGGCGCCAUAAUAUCUAUGGUGACGUUACAGUGACAGAUAGUAGGGAGGUUGAAACCGACAAGGGCUUCAGUCACCAUGGUGGCGAAGGUACCGAGAGAAACUUGGUGUGUGUGUGCUUAGUGUAUCCUGCUAUGUUGAUGGAAAAAGUACAGAAUUGUUUGAAUCUCCCAGAGCUCAUCCACAGGCGAAAUGGAAACCAGGCGCAAUGAUCAGAGCCUGCUUGUUUGCAGUUACUUCAAGGCAAACCAGGGGCAUGAGAGCCAAAUUAUAACCCUCUUUAGGGGGCACAAGCUUCCCUGGGUUUUUAUUUGCUCUCAAAUUGCAUCAGUCAGCAGCUACAGGUUGCUUUAGCUCGAGGGUGAGGGACCUUUAUUACCCAAGGGCCACAUGCUCUAAGGAGUAGGCUUCUGAGGGUAACAUGCCAGUGUGAGGUGGGGAAAGAGGCAAAGGUGGGCUGGAUAUUGAAGGUAAUGAUCUAGUUUAUACAAACCCCUUCUAUCCUCCAUCCACCAAGCAAGAGGCAUGGUCAUAGUUUAAGGACACAUUUCAGUCAAGCAAAAACACUUGGUUUUGGGGCAUGAUGAGGGGUGUGGCCACAUAGAAAGUCUUGGAGGGCCACAUUCAGUUUCCCCCUGGCUUGAGGUUUCUCACCCUGUUUUUCACAGAAGUGGAUGAAAUUUGCAGGCAACAUUGUCCCUCCAAAGUUCAGGCAGAUCAACCUUUACAGUUUUUUCCUCCUAUGAGAAUCGAAUGCAUGUUGCAGGCCUAGUCACUCUAGCUGAGAGGAUAAAUCCUGUCAGAGUUCAAGAAACUAGGUGCCGUCGUUCUUCCACAAGGAUGGACUUUACUGUUUGGGGAUGGGAAAACAGAAAUUGUGUUACCUCACCCCUAGGUGAGGGGGUGGGGAAGAGAUCAAUUAUAAAUCAUGAGUAGUUGAGAGACACAAGGUAGGCACCCCUGGAUGAGAAGCCUGCCAAAACCCAGACAAACAGAUCCAGGCGAUCUCAUACUAGGUGAUUUCAUCUUUGUCAGUCCUUUCCCCAACUUUUUCUAAAAAAGUGUUUUGAGGUACUCUCAUUUUCCUCAUCAUAUUGAACUACUGCCCCUCAAUGAGGCCAAACUUAGAUUCAGAAAAUGUUUAGGGGUAUGCGUUCCCCCCCCCCAAAAAAGCACUGAUCUUUGUUACAAGAAACUGGAAAAGUUACCGUUCAAUUUUGCUGUCCACCUCUUCCUGGAAGUAGUCUCUGUGGAGAAGAAAAAUGAGUGCACUGUGAUUUUUUAAAAAAAUUCGGUAAGGGGAAAAGAAAUGACUGGGAAAGAAGCAUAUCAGCCCAAUAGUCUUAACUCUGCUGCUUAUGUCCUGUUCUCACAAACAAAAAUUGGAGAGUGUGACCCAUGCAAAGAACAACUGUUUACUUCAACAUCCAUCCCACAAAUCACUGUGAUUGGAGUACACUAGGAAAAUAGUUCACUAGACCUGUCCGACAACAUGAAAGUUCCCUCUUCACACCCUGCUCUGUCCUCUCCCUCUCCUUCUCUCUUGAGUUCUGGCCAUUUCCUAAGUCUGUCAGUUUGGCUUUGGACUCCCCAAUCCACCUGAAAACACCUUGUUAAGAGCAAAAUCCAGACCCAGGUCAUCCUAUUCUGCCUUGCUUAUUCAGGACGAUGGCCACCCCUAUUAUUUAUAUUCUUUCCUCCCCACUUUUAAGUCUGUUUUGAAGUAAGAAAUGAUUUGAUCCCUGACAAUGAAAAAUGCAGGAAGCUUCCAGGCCGUGCUAAUGUUAUCUCUUUGUAAUUCUGUGGAAAUCAAGCUGUGAAUUCAAUCUUUUAUGGGGGGGGGGGGGGCAAGGGGAGACACAGGGACACUGUGAGACAUUUAGAGGCCUUCGGGGGGGAAAUGCAAAAUUUAUGCCAUCCAGGUGACCAUCUUGCCCGUAUUUGAAACAUGUACUCAGCAGGGUGAUGCAAAUGUUCUCUGCCAAAGGCCAUCCUUCAUUUCUCUUGGCUCCGUUCUAUUGCCCAACAAUUAAUUGCUAGAGGUCCCAGCCAUUAUAAGCAAAUCACAUUUUUCGUUGUCUAUAUGCUAUAAACCAGAGAAAGACUCGGAGCUGAGAUCAUGCUCUUACAUCUAUCUGCCCACCUCCCGCUUUAAUCCAAACAUUACUGACUGCCCUGUCCCCAGCUUUUCCAUAUCCUUUGUCUCUUUCCUGUGUUCUGUACGUGUCUUCGUGUACAUGGCCCCUUGAGCCCAGUGUGGUGUGGGAGAGCCAGUGUGGUGUAGUGGUUAAGAGCGGUAGUCUCGUAAUCUGGGGAACCGGGUUCGCGUCUCUGCUCCUCCACAUGCAGCUGCUGGGUGACCUUGGGCCAGUCACACUUCUCUGAAGUCUCUCAGCCCCACUCACCUCACAGAGUGUUUGUUGUGGGGGAGGAAGGGAAAGGAGAAUGUUAGCCGCUUUGAGACUCCUUCAGGUAGUGAUAAAGUGGGAUAUCAAAUCCAAACUCUCCUUCUUCUUCUUCUUGUGAGUCAUGUUACCUGUGUGACACUGCAGAGCCCAAAAGUCUUGCUUUUUUCAGGGCCGUGCUCCCAUGGUGCCCAAAAAUGAACAUUUGGGGGUGCCAUGCAAGAUAUUGCCCCCCCAGACCCACUUUCUUCAGGGCACAGAAUCACAUGAGAUCACAUGCCCAAAAUGGCCGCUGUGCUCUCUGGUGGAAAAACGGGAUGUCCCAGUUUUUCCAGGACACUUGCAGGAUAUGUUGAUUGUUAUUCCACUCUGCAAAACAUUGCUCUGCAAGGGGAACACAGAUCUCCUAACAACUCCCGGCACCUUUAACAAACUACAACUCCCGGGAUUCUCAGGAGAGCCAUGACUGCUUAAAUUGGUAUCGCAGCGUUUUGAAGGUACGCCGGGAAUGCGGCCUUGCAGGAGGGGCACGAGAAAUAGACUGUCCUGAGCGACCCUCAUAUGCAUUCCAGGUUGAUGCCACAGCGUAUUGUGUGUGAGAGGCUACAAAGGGCCUGAAUUAUUCAUCCCACCCCAUCUCCCCCUCCUCAGCAUUGUACAUUCCCUCAGCUCUCCUCAGAAAAACCACCCUGUACUUGUCAAACAAGAGCGCGGUUAUCAUUAUGUUCCCCCCACAAAGCAAAGCCUCCCGUCUCUUCUCCCCUCCCCACCCCGACAAUAGUUGCCUGGAAAGAGAGAAGAAACCAGCAGGGAAAACCUCCCCUUCCUCUUCUCUUUCGCACAGAAGCCUUUAAUCAUGAAUUUAUGCAGGCACAAAUUUCAGAGCUCUCUGUUUUCUCCACCAGAUCCCGACGCCAUCCCAGUCUCAACCCCCACCCCACUCCCUUGCCCAAGGUACUUUCAGGCUUGCGACUGCAAAAGUAGAAGGGGCAAGGCUGCAAUCCCAAGGCACUGGAAGGAUGUUGCCACUGGCGUAGCAGAGAGCUAGCUUCCUUGUGGGUUUUUGUAGGCGAAGAUGCAACUGCUUAAAUAGAAGCCUGUGUGUGUGUGUGUGUGUGUGUGUGUGUGGUCUUUGUGAUAGCCGACUCAUUAAAAAGCAAAGGCAAAACGAGAAUAUGAGCAUACAACAAUGAGACAGCUGUUAAUAUUGUAUUAGUAAGCAAAGCAUGCCAGUGUAAACAAAGGCUUCAACAAAAAUAUAAAUCAGGCAUAUAUCUAGUGGAUUUAAUGGACGUUUGCCAAUUUAACGCCAUUGUUAGUGAUAAGUUGAAUGCGCUGUAUUGCAUCAAGUGCUGCUCUCCGACUUGAGUUCAAAUGCCCUUUCAGCCUCAAAGCUUCCCUGGGUGACCUUGAGCCAGUUGCUCUCAAAUUCUAAGCUACGUUGUAAGAACCUGAGAAGAAGCUGCAGGAUUAGGUCUAUGGCCUAGCUGGUCCAGCAUCCUGUUCUCACAGUAGCCGGCCAGAAGCCCGUGGGAAGCCCGAGAGGAGAACCUGAGGGCGACAGCAAGCUACCCACUCAUUCUCCUCAGCAACUGGUGAGACAGUGGAGGCAGAACAUCAUCAUCAAGCUAAGUAGCCACUGACAUCAGGGAACCAGGAUUGGCCGUGGCUCCCUGUCAAGUAAACAACUGGUGGAAAAGAAGAAGAGUUUGGAUUUGAUAUCCCGCUUUAUCACUACCUGAAGGAGUCUUAAAGCGGCUAACAAUCUCCUUUCCCUUCCUCCCCCACAACAAACACUCUGUGAGGUGAGUGGGGCUGAGAGACUUCAAAGAAGUGUGACUAGCCCAAGGUCACCCAGCAGCUGCAUGUGGAGGAGCGGGGACGCGAACCCAGUUCACCAGAUUACGAGUCUACCGCUCUUAACCACCACACCACACUGGCUCCAGUUUGCUCGCCAUAUAAAGGAAGAAUUGGUUCCCAAUGACUACACUACACUCAAUUGAUGCUAGGGCAGGAAAUCUCCUGCUUGGACAUUGAGCAUCGAUGGCUUCUCGAAAUUUUCUACCUUAAUCGUUGGCAUAUAUGUGAUGGUAGGAAGCCAUUUCCCUCAAUUUCUCUGUGGGGAAGAGGAAUUCUCAACAGUUCCUUGCAAUUCACCACUAGCACUAGCCAGAGCACCACUUCUUCCUUUUCAUACUUAUCCACCCUCAGAAGAAACUUGCCAGAUUCGGUAGAGGGACUAUUCUAGCUUCCUGGCAAGUGGGACACUGUUGCUUGCUAGAAGGGCUUAUCCACACUUACAUUGCCUCCACUCUUUCCUGGCAUGGUCCGCACUUUAAAGCUCUGUGUCUGAGCACCAUUUUCUCUCUCUCCUAUUGAAUACAAUGGUUUUUCUUCAUCAUCAUCAUCAUCAUCAUUACCACCACCACAAUAAUUUAUUUAUACCCCGCCCAUCUGGCUGGGUUUCCCCAGCCACUCUGGGCGGCUCCAAACAGAAUAUAAAAAACACGAUAAAGCAUCAAACAUUAAAAACUUCCCUAAACAGGCUUGCCUUCAGAUGUCUUCUAAAAGUCAGAUGAUUAUUUCUUUGACAUCUGAUGGGAGGGCAUUCCACAGGGCGGGCGCCACUACCAAGGAGGCCCUCCUCCUGGUUCCCUGUAGCUUCACUUCUCACAGUGAAGGAACCAGCAGAAGAUCCUCGGAGCUGGACCUCAGUGUCCACUGAAUGAUAGGGGUGGAGACUCUCCUUCAGGGGAAAGCUCCAAUUGGGGGGGGGGAGCCUUCGGACCUGGUACUUUAUAGCAUGGACCUGUACCUGAAAAGAGCAGGGCAAAAGUUAAGUGUGGAUAAGCCUGGAGACAGAGAUUCUUGCAGCAGGAACAUGAUUUCACAUCUUCCAGGAUGUGCUGGACCUGGGGCAUUAUGUAAGGGGUAGCUACUACAAAAAUAAUAAAAAUGUUUGUGAAUAUUCAGAGGAAGGGGGAGGAAUGUCCACAGUGACCAUUUUCUAGUCAGGAUAGGGUGGAGUGGAUGAGAAAGGAAACUGCCGGAAAUUUCCUCAGAAAACUGUAUUCUGAUGGAUUUUGGCUCAGCUCAAAAUGCUACACACAGCCGACCCCUUGGAUCGUGGCCAGUGUUCUGUUUUGGCUGAGCUUGGCUGGUGGUAUUGAAAGACAAGCAGUUUCUUUCUGUCAGCUUGUUUUCACAUCACACAUAAAACUCAUUCGAGGUAGUUUCCCCCCCCCCCCCUCCCAAAUUGGUGCGUCAACCUUUAUACAUACAGACCCUUUUACUGCCGUUGCAUAAACAUGUGGAGAAUUCACAUGGGAUCAAUUCCAUGUGUCAGGGAAAGGUGCAAUCAAAAUCAUGUCUCUUCGGAGGGGGUAUGUUUUCAAUUAUCCAACUCAAGGCAAUCGCCAGUCAACCACAUCAAUGCUCUCCACAGUGGGCUGAUGUUUACUGCGCCCUUUUACGACACAUAGACAUGCUGGCUUUUUCUAUCUUAACCUAGAGAGUCACUUUCUUUGUGUUAACCAAGGACCCUUCUGCAAAACUAUACACUUAAAGCAACAUCAUACCACUUUAAACAGUCAUGGCUCCCCCCCCCCCCCCGAAGUUUGGGAACUGUAGUUUCUUAGGACUGCUAAUAGUUGUUAGGAGACCCCUAGUCUCCUCACAGAGCUAUAGUUCCCAGUUUCCUGGGGAAGAGGAUUGAUUGUUAACCCCCUUGGAAAUGGUAGCUCUGUGAGGGGAAUAGGGGUCUCCUAACAACUCUUAGCAGUCCUAACAAACUACAGUUCCCAGGCUUCUUUGGGGGAAGCCAUGGCAUCGUAGUGCAGUUGAGGCCUGGAUGAAUUUAUGCAUCUUCAGUUAUUGCAAUUAAAGCUUUCUGUGGCCUGGACCCUGGAUAUCCAAAGGAGGAGUUUAUUCCAAAUUUACCACCUUUCGCAUUAUUCUGAAUUCUUCAGGUGCCUCCACCAUGUGUCUAAUGUUGAUCAGCACCAGGAUUAGAGCUGAGUUAAAUGCUUGCAGGUGGCAGCCUCAUAUAGCUUUAGCUACAAGGUGACAUCUCAAAGCCAAAUCUAUGUGAGGGCAAUGCUUUCUACUUUGACUCUGAAUGGAGGAACAUUUCCAUCCCAGAUCACAGUCCCACCAUAAAGUGUAUCACCAGAACAUAAGGAUAUGUUUAAAUCUUGGCCCGACUCCCAUGAAAUGCACCUCCAUGUUUCAGCUCAGCCAUAAGUAUGAUAGGGAUUUUUUUAGCGGUAAGUUCCUUUCCUCCCAAAGGAGGAUACAUCAGAUCUACAAUGGAAUAAUUUUACUGCAUUUAAAAUACUGUGUAAAGUUCUGAUUGCCUCAUCUCAUAAAGGACAUUAUGGAGCAGGAAAAGAUUCAGAGAAGGAGCAACCAGAAUGAUCAAGGGGAUGGAGCAAUUUCCCCAUGAGGAAAGGUCACAGCAUUUGAGACUUUAGAGCAGCCUUUCUCAACCUGUGGGUCCCCAGAUGUUGUUGGACUACAACUCCCAUCAUCCCUGAGCUCUGGCCUUGCUAGCUAGGGGUGAUGGGAGUUGUAGUUCAACAACAUCUGGGGACCCACAGGUUGAGAAAGGCUGCUUUAGAGAAAAUGGUGAGUAAAGUGACGUAGAAUAAUAGAGUUGUAGAGUUGGAAGUGACCCUGAGGGUCCUCUAGUCCAACCCCUGCAAUGCAGGAAUCUCAACACACGGUCCCCCAUCCAGUUUGGAACCAUAGCGGAUCCUCCUUAGCUUUGCAAAGAUGCUCACAGUUUUAUUGCUGUACCACUAGGAGUUAUAGUUCAGCUUCUUUAUCUCAUAGUGGCCCACCAGAUUGCCUAUGGGAAUCCCAAAGUGCAAGAGCACAUUCCCACUUGGGAAUCCCAGCACCUGACAUUCAGAGUCAUCCUGCUUCCAUCUGGGGAGUUAGAACAUGGCCAUUGCGUCUAGCAGUCACUGACAGCCUCACCCUCCAUGAAUUUGUCUGGCCCCACUUUAAAGCUAUCCAGGCUGAUGAUCACCACAACAUCUGGAGAUAGGAAAUUCCAUAGAGUAUGUGAUGGAAGUUUAUGAAAUUAUGCACGGCAUGGGGAAGGCAGAUAGGGGGAAGUUCUUCUCCCUAACAUCCAACGAUGCUGAAUGUAGGAGGUUUCAGGAUAACAGAAAAUGCUUCUUCACGCAGGGCAUAGUGGAACUAUGGAACUUGCUUCUAGUGAUGGCUGCCAACUUAUAUAAGAUUUACAGGCUGCCCUAUCACAAAAAAAGUUCUCAAGGUGGCUUGCAGGCUUAAAAACAAAGAAGUCCAACAAACAAAAUUUGGUGUACAUGUGUUGCAAUAAAACAGGCUGCAGCCUGUUGUUGUGGUCCACCAGUAGGGCUGUUUGACUUGCGAGGUGGGGGUGCACAUUUGGAAAUCAAUUCAAAUAAAAAAAUAAUAAAACGCAUGCGAUGCGCUUGGAAGCCAGCGAGCGCCUCCGACCCCUCUGCUGCCCCACCCUCCAUAUAGCAGCAAAACCCUUAUGAGAUUGUUUGUCUGAUUCUAAUGCAGGUAAUGUAACUCUGAGCUCAGUGAUCCAAGAACAAAUUUCCCAGCAGGCCGCACUUGACAAGCAGGUGUCACUCAAUCAUGCACAUUUUCGCCUCCCCGAGAGGACAGAUGGUCCCAGCCUACUUAGCAAUUCCAUCCUCUCUUGGCAGCCCCCACCUCAACUCUCCUGUGCAGUGCCGUAAUAAAGAUGCUUCGAGAUUCGUGUUAAUCUGCAGUCUAUGGGGUAAACUGUAAACAAAGUGUGCAGAGUUAUUGUUUCUCGUUAUGCGACGGCCUUCUUAUCUUCCCCUUCGCCUAUGGCAUAUAGAUAUCUUUAAUAGCCUAUGCAGCCGGACUCGGCUUCGGCGGAGAUUACUUGCCAUAAUUUUAAAGCACCAACAAAAUUACUUUGUCUGAAGAGGCUUGACCUAAUCUGAACAGGGCUCUGUGAAGGCAGCGAGGCUUCCUUGUUUCUCCAGACUAGACACGCAACGUCUUAAAGGGAAUCAUGUUGCUAGAUUUUUAAGCAAAGGCAUGCGUCGUGCUUGCUGAUCCUCCCUUCGGAGAUAGUAUGGCAGUCACCCGUCUCACCUGCGUUCAAAAAAACGGGGCAGCAAGCAUGGGCAUCAGGGUCAUUAGAAAUGUGGAACGCCCUCCCACCAGAUGUCAAAGUGAACAACAACUACCAGACUUUUAGAAGACAUCUGAAGGCAGCCCUGUUUAGGGAAGCUUUUAAGGUUUGAUGUGAUAGGGAGUGUUCCCAUAAGAAGGGAACAAUGGCAAAUUGUGUCCUCCCUAAAAGAGGGCACGUGUUGCAGUGAGACCUGGAGACUGACCUCCUGGUUGUGGGUGGGUCUGUUGGAUAGCCACAACACCCGAUUGGUAGGUCCCUCGUUGCUGGGUGUAAUCUGGCCAAUGGGGCACAGUCUAAGCGGAUUGAGGGACCUAUAUAAAUCCAUGCACGUGUCCCAGAGCUUCCUCUUUCGGUUCAUGCAUCGGAACACCCGCCCACCUCUCCCUAAUUUUAGGGCAUUUUGCGAUUGACCUUGUUAUGCCACUGUGUGUUGUCUGUUGUUGGAACAGGGGCAUGGCAAGAAUUUUCCCCACUUGGCUGAUUAGCUGUGGCCAUUUGGGUUUCGCCUGCUGCGUAGCAAUUCGUCACAGCUUGUAAGGUUGCGGAUAGGCACUGGUUCAUGUGAUAGGGAUGGGAGAAUCAUUUGCUGGAAGCCGCCCAGAGUGGCUGGGGAAACCCAACCAGAUGGGUGGGGUAUACAUAAUAAAUUAUUAUUAUUAUUAUUAUUAUUAUUAUUAUUAUUAUUAUUUCAUAGAAUCAUGGAAUUGUAGAGUCAUAGAUGAGCAUUGCAGUGAGCAGGGAAUUCCUUGCCAUGUUCACUUUACUGGAGGAAAGGAUUUUAACAAAUACCUCCUCCGUUGCAGACAAUAGAAACUAUCUUCAUGGUGGCUAGUUUACACAUUGUUGCAGGCCACCCCAAUCUCCGAGUGGAAGGGAGGAGUAGCAGCAUUAUAUAUAAAGAAUGUGUACAUUUGUGAAGAAAUCCACGUCCUGGAGCAGAUUGAGAGUAUAUGGGUAAGAAUUGUAGGAGAGAGAAACAACAGGGACAAAUGUAACAGUAGGGACAAUGGUAAGGUUCUGCACUUAGGCAGGAAGAACGAGAUGCACAAAUAUAGGAUGGGGGGACACCUGACUUACUUCCAGUACAUGUGAAAAGGAUCUAGGGGUCUUGGUGGCCACAUGCUUAACAUGAGUCAACAGUGUGAUGCGGCAGCAAAAAAGAAAGAAAGAAAAAGAAAGCUAAUGCCAUUCUAGGCUGUGUCAACAGAAGUAUAGUGUCCAGGUCAAGGGAAGUGAUAGUACCACUCUAUUCUGCCUUAGUCAGACCACACCUGGAAUACUGUGUCCAGUUCUGAGCACCACAGUUUAAGAGGGAUAUUGACAAGCAGAGGAGGGCAAACAAGAGGAUGAAGGGUCUGGAAAUCAAGCCUUAUGAGGAGUGCUUGAAGGAGCUGGGUAUGUUUAAUAAUAAUAAUAAUAAUAAUAAUAAUAAUAAUAAUAAUAAUUUAUUUGUACCCUGCCCAUCUGGCUGGGUUUCCCCAGCCACUCUGGGCGGCUUCCAACAAAGAUUAAAAAUACAUCCAAAUGUCACACAUUAAAAACUUCCCUGAACAGGGCUCCCUUCAGGUGUCUUCUAAAUGUCAGGUAGUUGUUUAUCUCUUUGACAUCUGAUGGGAGGGUGUUCUACAGGGUAGCGGGCACCACUACUGAGAAGGCCCUCUGCCUGGUUCCCUGUAGCUUUGCUUCCCGCAGUGAGGGAACUGCCAGAAGGCCCUCAGCAAUGGACAUCAGUGUCCGGGCAGAACGAUGGAGGUGGAGAUGCUCCUUCAGGUAUACUGGGCCGAAGCCAUUUAGCCUGGAAAAGAGGAGACUGAGAGGAGAUGUGAUAGCCAUCUUCAAAUAUCUCAAGGGCUGUCACACGGAGGAGGGGGCAUGCUUGUUUUCUCCUGCUCUGGAGGGUAGGACUCGAACCAAUGGCUUCAAGUUGCAAGAAAGGAGAUUCUGACUAAACAUUUCUGACAGUAAGAGCUGUUCAGCAGUGGAACAGACUCCCAUGAGAGGUGGUGGACUCUCCUUCCUUGGAGGUUUUUAAACAGAGUUUGGGGGGCCAUCUGUUGUGGAUGCUUUAGCUGAGAUUCCUGCAUUGCAGGGGGUUGGUCUAGAUUCCAGGGAUUUCAUGUGCUUAUAUCCGGGGUUUGGUUUCCUCUGAAUGAGGGACAGCAGAGACUGUGGUGUCUAUGUUGGCAUGGAACCAAGGAAACGGGGGCAAUUGGCAGGCCCCCAGCUGGCUCCAGUCCACCAGCCGGUGUGCGGGGCGAUCUCCAGUCCUUGGUGUAGCAUCUGCAACUCAUGCUUCAGAAGCUAGAGCACGCUACUCAGCAGAGUAAACAUUACGCAACAGAAGUGGCAGGAGAAGUUGUGUGAGCAUAUUCACAAGCAGCUUAUUCAGCAUACAGCAGGACAAAAGGAAACAUAUCUGAUCCCUUUCAUGUCCAAAGCAAGAAGUGGCAAAAGCAAAAGCUAUACACAAACGGAAGUUCCCAGCAAGCUGUGUUGGAGUGUAAACAGACAUGUGACAUACGACAAUUCCACACGUCUGUUCUUAAGGUGGAAUGGAAUAUCCCAACAGUCUACCCCCCCCCACCCCGAGCCAACGAUGGAGGGGGUCACAGAGUCAACACCCUAAGUGGAUCUAGCUUCUCCCAUAGCCACAGCCUUGGAUUCCAGCAGAAAUCAGGCAUGGCUCUGUCUCUCAGCUGCCCAGCCUGCUGGUUGCUUCUAGCUUCUAGCUCACACAGAGAGCUCUGGCUUUUGUCUUUCUACUUGGGCACCACCCAUUUUUUUCUGGCAUGGAGCCACAUUCUUUGUUACUUUAAUGACCCAUACUUAGUCCAUUACCCAUACUUAGGCCUGGCUAUUCCAGCAAUGGAAUCCUUAUUGCUUCCAGGAAUUAGAAGGAACUCAGGCAUACAGCCUCCCCUCCACCUAACACAUAACAAUAUUUUAUUUAUUUUGGUUGCAUGGGUUUUGGCAUUCAAACCUCUUUUUUGUUGCGACCUCUUUUUUCUGUUACUUGGAAAAAGCACCCCUGGCUUCACCGUAAUCUUGCUUUGCAAGUUGAUGAUGGGGGGGGGGAGGCAGGGGAUGGGAUCCCAGGGGUUUUGAGAGGAUGGUUUAAAUGCAAGGGACCAUCUUGCUAAGCUGUUAGCGGGUCAUAGCCAGUGGGAGGUCAUAGCCCAUAAUGGUAGGGAAUUGUGCAAAUAUCGAGUGCAUGGUAGCUGGAUAAGUAACCAGAUAAAUAGACAUUCAGGCGACAUCCACUUCACAUUCAUGUUAUGUAUUUUGUUUCAGGGCAUCCGGCAAGAACCACUCCUGGAGUGUAUACUUUGGGGAAAAUACCCUACAUCUAAGGCAUCAGGUCUUCAUUAGCAAAGAAGAGAGAAGCAGACUGACAAGCUGCCCUUGUUAUACCGAGCAGCCUGUAAUCCUUUCUUCAGCUCUGCACCUUUCUCAGGAGUGCAGAGAAGAAUGGUUUUCAGGCUGCCCAUAUACCAAUAUUUGUGGGUUUGUUUGUUUGUUUAAAGAAAGGACCAAUGCCAACCACUGUUUCCAUUUUGACCAGGAGUGCAUAUAAAGGGACUCCUGUAAAAAAUGAAGGAUUUUGAUUUGCAAUGAAAUGAAGCCUUUGCAUAUUGUGUUAUCGAGAACCUUUGAGCAGAACCUUUUGCACUGCACAACUGCCAGCAUCCAUGAUGGCAAAAGAAACUAGGGGUGGGCGAAGCAGCCCAUUUCUGCUCUGUGUCACUUUCCACAUGUGUUCAUGUCCUUUCUGCACCGAUCUGCAGAUAAGAUCUGUGUUGAUAAUCUGUAUUUAAGUACAGGGGACAGCCAUUGUGUGUGUCCUCCUUCCCAGGGGAUCUGGGUGCAGUCUUGAUACAUGCAAAACACCUGAAAGGGCCUCAUUUGAAAGUCUGAUAUAUCCUUCUAGGAGGCGACAACAAGGAAUAGGAGAAGCAGGACCAGUCCUACUGUUAGACAGGGGGAGGCAGCUGAUGUUGGAUAUUGUGAAAGGGCAGUCAAUUGUUAGUUUAACAUACACAAUUGUUGUAUUAGUAUCACCAGGGAGGGGGCAGCUGCUUGUGAGAUAUUUUGCCUGGCUGGGAGACUUUCUGGAAACCUCAGGUAAUCCUGCCUUGAGUUCCAUGAUGGGAGAAGCUCUUCUUAUGUUGCAACUGGAAAGCGCUGCAUGCUUUGUUGCACUCCAAAGGAGUAGAUCAGGCCCCAGAUCAGAUUGGAAGGGGGAGCUGUGUACAGCCCUAUUCUUAAUACACCAUCUUCCGUUCAAAAACAAGAUGGGUUAAUUUGGAACAUGGGAUCUAGGGUGAAAUUCAGGUGAGAAUUGGAGAGAUAUUCAUUUGAAAUAUUUCUUAUUUCAAGGUUCUGUGAUGCAAACAGGAAAACAAGAGGAAACAGAACAGAACAGAUCAUUGAGAGCCAGUGUGGUGUAGUGGUUAAGACCGGUAGUCUCGUAAUCUGGGGAACCGGGUUCGCGUCUCCGCUCCUCCACAUGCAGCUGCUGGGUGACCUUGGGCCAGUCACACUUCUUUGAAGUCUCUCAGCCCCACUCACCUCACAGAGUGUUUGUUGUGGGGGAGGAAGGGAAAGGAGAAUGUUAGCCACUUUGAGACUCCUUAAAGGGAGUGAAAGGCGGGAUAUCAAAUCCAAACUCUUCUUCUUCUUCUUCUUCUUCUUCUUAUAAGAAGCUGCAGCAGAACAGUGAAGAAAGUCUAGGAUGAGGAUGUAGCUGGAGCGAGUCUCCCUGUAGUCUCAUGUCUCAUGCACAGAAGGAGUCUUGCCUCUCAGUAGUACAGCCUGAAAUAACACAGCUUGGAAUGAGAGUUACAGUUUGAAGCACUGGAUUUUCCAUCUCUCUGCGAUCCUCCUGGGCUAGGCAAAGCUACAGCCACUCAGAGGAUUUGCUUAAUCCACAGCACGUUGCACUGGCUGUGUUCAGUCACAUCAUCAACAUUUCGAUUUUGAAUUAAAAACCUGGUUUCAGCUGAGGCUCAGCGAGAGGUGACACAGUGCUAGGAAAAAGAGGGUGAGAGACUGAAUUACAAUUUCAAAUCACCGGCCACCCAGGGCAGGAGCAAAGGUUGCCUUGCUGAGCCCCCUUGGAGCUUCGUCCUUUGCUUCCAGGCAGCAGCACCAGAGAGUGCAAGUAGUCGGGGGGGGGGGAUACCAUGUGAAAACGCCAUUAUAAUGAUGUCAGAUUCCACUCUGAAGGGGGAAAGAGUGAGACAGGCAGCAAAAGGCUGUCAUGCGUCAAUCACAUUAACAGAAGGAAGCAUACACGUUUCCGCUAAUAUAACAUGAAGAUCCGAUCUUAGAGCGCUAAUGAUGGACCCAGGCAAGCUAGGAAACCUCCGAAACUCUCCCCUAUUUCUGUUAAAGAUGCCGAAUUGAAACUGGCUUGCAAGGGGCAGUUUAAAAUAACAAUGCAAUUAAAAGAAAGUGGUAUUUGGACAUCUUUCUUGGGACAAUGAUCUGGAGAAUGGUGACUAGCAAGAUGUCUAGUCUUUUUCCUUUCGUCCCAGAAUGAUGGUGGACUAUGGUUAUGUCCACAAGGUUUGCACAUCCUUUUUCUGGAGAACUACAUUUUAAAAUUCAGAGAAGCGAAAAUUUCAAAGGAUAUGGCUGUGUUCGGUGCUCGUAUUGUUUCAGAAAGCGAAAAUUCGGCAUGUUCUCCUUUAAAUGUGAAGUGGAUCAAAUUUCUCUUCCUAUCCGUACCGUACCAUAACAAAUACUUCUCGCCCCUCGUAAGUGGAAUACUUGUUGGCAGCCAUGUACAAUAAUGGUGCAUUGAUCUCUUUUUCUCUUCCAGCCGGCGCUAAAGUCUGAAACACCAAGCAAACUAAAAAGACCUCAUUAACUCCACCUAUCAACAACGCUAUUAUAAUGAAUAAGAAAGUGGGAGGCAUGGGGGGGUCAACCUUUCUUUUUCUCCUUUUUAAAGCUCCAGCAUCAUCUCUCAAAACAGGUCCCCUCUCUCAUUAUCUCAACCCUGCCUAGGAGAAAAUCAAUAAACAAUUUGCAUUUUUUAUCAAUAUUUAAUGUCAGGCUGUAGGAUCCCUUUGAAAAGCUCAGGUCCUCGUGAGCCUCUCAACUCCCCAUACAUAUACAUUUCUAUAUAAAUAUAUAUAUUUUAAACAUGACAGAGACUAAACGCCCAGCAUGUGCUCAGGUGCUAGGGUCAGUUCUAGUUAAAAAAAACACAACCCAAAACGUUAGGGAUUGCUCCAUCCCAUCCCCAUGUCCCCAAAUAAACUGCAGCUGCCCGUCUGAGGGCAGGAGCAGUAGCAAUCGGGGGGAGCGUGGUGUUGAAUUUUAAUGAUUUGUAGAAGACAAAUGAGGUUGCACUGCCACGCAAUUAGCGGGCAGUCGAAAGAUGUGUUGGGUCUUAAAUGAGGGACAUGAUCUCCUCUUGACUCGCAGUGUGCAGAGAGCCCUCCCUGUGAAGACCAUAAUGAGGAAGGUAGAUGAGAUCCCUGGAAGGCUGACAGAACAAUUACACAGUGGGGAAAUGGCUGUUGAUGCCAAACACAACUCUCUCCCCUCCCCCCCACCAGCCGCAUAUUAAUGCCAACCUGAAUUCCACUUCGUCGUUUGCAGAAACAUGAAAACAGACUCCUCCAUUGGCUAGGCGGGCUUCCGAGAGUGAACAUGCCGAGAACUCGGUGUUUGAUUUCCUGCGACUUGUGAAUCGGGACAAUAAUGUCUGCACAGUUGCAAUUUCACAAUGAGUGUCUCAGGCAGCGUGUUCACAGGACUUCAUUCAUGCCCAUGCUUGGUUGCCCAGGCUAAGCCCUGCAGCCUCCUUCAAACCUGGAGCUCAUAUCAUAACAUUCUCAAUGUCGAAUCUCUUUUUAAAGCCGUCUAAGCUUAGGGUCAGGGACGCGGGUGGCACUGUGGGUUAAACCACAGAGCCUAGGACCUGCCGAUCAUAAGGUCGGCGGUUCAAAUCCCCGCAAUGGGGUGAGCUCCUGUUGCUCGGUCCCUGCUCCUGCCAACCUAGCAGUUCGAAAGCACGUCAAAGUGCAAGUAGAUAAAUAGGUCCCACUCCGGCGGGAAGGUAAACGGCGUUUCCGUGUGCUGCACUGGUUCACCAGAAGCGGCUUAGUCAUGUUAGCCACAUGACCCGGAAGCUGUACGCCGGCUCCCUCAGCCAGUAAAGCGAGAUGAGCGCCACAACCCCAGAGUCGGCCACGACUGGACCUAAUGGUCAGGGGUCCCUUUACCUUUUAAGCUUAGGGUCAUAGGUAGAUCAAUCAUUCAAUCAUUGCCACAUUCAGGUAGGGCUGGCAAACCCUGCAAAGCUGCUGCCAGCCAGUGUUGACAACACUGAGCUAGAUGAACUAACGGCUUAGCUCCAUGCAAGGCACCUUCCUCUGUUCCUAAGCUGGUGGUUAUACAUAUUGCAGCAGUAAAUUCCUUAAGUUAGUCACAUGUAGUGUGAAGUUAACUCGUACUGCACGCUGUGUGAAUUCCAGAAGUUGGCAAUGUAUCACACCUCUUGGUUUAGGGGGAAAGUCUUGGCACAGCGGCCCAUUUACUCUUAUUUAGAGUGACAAAUAGGUGCUGCAAAAUGUAAAAUUAAUGCGUCAGGUUAAUUUCAUGCACCCCUUGCCUCAGACCGAUUAGUGCAAAUUAAAUUUCAUGCUCAUCAGCCGGAGUCAUCACAAAUGUUCUGCAGUAACCUGCGGAUUUGUGAUGAUCACAGUAGCAAAGCGUCGGGGGCUGUUUGCCCAAACGGUGAAUGGCAAGGAAAGAUUUUGACCACCGUAAUGAGAGAGCUGAGCAGUUGUUCAAUAAAUAAUGAGUGUUUUCUGCAAAUGGAGAACAUUAAACUGCUCCACUCACCACAGUAACGGGAUGAUGGUCAUUACAUGGACGAAUGGUCUGAUCUUGUUAUAACAACAGCCCUAGAAUAUUUUUUAUUCUUUUUGCCUUCCCUUGGUAAAAUGUUGUAUACAUUGACAUCAGAUUCUCAGGUGGUUUUAAUCAGAACCAGGGCAUGAAAGUGGGUUUUGCUCAUUCUUUUGUGCAUGGUGGGUGGGAGAAAACAACUUUAUUCCUUUUGAGACAGCUCGGGGGUGGAGAACUGGAUUCUUCUGUCUCCCACCUAGCACAGGCCAGCCUUGACAGGAAUAAUAGAAUUGUGGAGUUGGAAGGGACGCUAAGGACAAUCUAGUCCAAUCCCCUGCCAUGCAGGCAUCUCAGCUAAAACAUCCAUGACAGAUGGCCAUCCAACUUCUGCUUAAGAACCUCUAAGGAAGGAGAGUCCACCACCUCCUGAGGGAGACUGUUCCACUAUCAAACAGCUCUUACUGUCAGAAAUGUUUAGUCAGAAUCUCCUUCCUUGUAACUUGAAGCCAUUGGUUUGAGCCCGACCCUCCAGAGCAGAAGAAAGCAAGCUUGUUUGCUCUUCCACGUGACAGCCCUUGAGAUAUUUGAAGAUGGCUACCUUAUCUCCUCUCAGUCUCCUCUUUUGCAGGCUAAACAUACCCAGCUUCCUCAUCCAUUCCUCAUAAUGCUUUGGAGGGCAGGACCAUCAACCUAUGACUCACCUGAUGGGUUCCGUUAGAGUGUGAUGCUGAAAAUGCCAAGGUUGCAGGUUUCAUCCCCGUAUGGAACAGCUGUGUAUUCCUGCAUCACAGUGGGUUGGACCAGAUGAUCCUCAGUGUCCCUUCCAGCUCUAUAAUUCUAUGAAAUGGAAUCGCUGUAGCCACCCAUCAAUGAAUGGGCAGUUUCAGUGACCUCCUUUGAAGGCAUACCCCCAGUGCCAGUUCAGACCAGCCAGCAUGGCUUUACUUCCACAUAGCAUCUACAGGUUGUCAGUGUUUGAAAAAGAAAAGGUUCUGACCUCCUUUUACUUACUUAUGCCUAGUCCUCAGACCUUAGUUGACACAAAAGAGUCUUUGAGAAAGAGUAUUCUUGCAGAGUAUUGCUGCUUUUAUUCUUUAAAAGUCUUCUUCUCCAACCAGCUUUUACACGUACCAAACGUAACCAGCUUUCAACCAUCCAACCAACCCACACCCAACACUAACAUUAACCACUCUAUAUAUACAGGUACAAUUUGGUGAAAGGUUGCAUGAGUCAUUGUAGGCCACUGACUCAUGCUGUCUUAGUUCUUUUAGCAUUAAAGAAACAGCAGCCAAUUUUUAGCUGUGACACAGGUUUCAGUUUUAGCAACUAGCAGGAUGCCCAGCUAGGAUGUGCAUGAAAGAAGGACCAGCAUAUUGUUAGGAUGUCAAGGAGUGCAAAGCAGCCCUGUCCGUCAAGGCUAGGCUUGCUAGUCUCAGACGUUAUCAAUGGGUUUUGCACUUAAUGGAGCAUUGUCUUCCAGGGAGGCCUAGCCCAAGACCCUUUGACACUAAAGGGUCAACAAACAAACAAACAAGGCAAACAAAAAAAAUGGUGCCCCCCCCAGGGAAGAAUGGGUGAGCAAAGUUCUACAUCAGGAGUAAGGGGGGGGGGGGGAAUAAAGAUCUACUCCAGGAAGGAGGGUGGGAGAAGACCACUAGCAUCUCCUAUUCACCAAGAGGCUGUUGUAGAGGUGACAUUAGAGGCGGGGAUGGCAGAUCUGGCCUCCAAGGAGCAUGCCACAGCUGUUGCUGCCACCAUGGCUGUGGCAGCAGGUGGUGCAUUCCUUGGAGGCUGAAUUGCUGCCCUUGUGGGUCUUGCUGCCUGAGGCACGCACCUCACCAUGCCUCAUGGGCGGGCUGGCCCUUCUUCUAGGUCCUGAUAUGAGUGAAUGGGAUCUAUUCACCUAGAUGGGAAAAAGUAAAGGACUGCAGUGACUUCAUUAGGAUAGUUGGCUAAGUUUGCCUGCUACCCUUUAAUAACAAAAACAAUUUUAAUAUUUAUACGCCACCCAUUUGACUGGGUUGCCCCAGCCACUCAGGGUGGCUUCCAGCAAAAUAUAAAAAAAUGCAAUAAAACAACAAGCAUUAAAAGCUUCCCUAUACAGGGCUGCCUUCAGAUUUCUUCAGAAAGUCAUAGAGUUGUUUAUCUGUUUGAAAUCUGAUGGUAAGCCGCUGCCAGUCAUUCUAAGCAACGCUGAGAUGGAUGGACCAAAGGUCCAACUAUGUUUAAGGCAGUUUCCUAAAUCAGGGAUGACUAACCUGUUUUUUUGGUCUGGAAGAUACAUCAACCCAUUGCAAAAAAACCUUCCACAGGCUGCAUGUCACUCCACAUCCUUGCACACCCAAUUGUAUGCUCUUGCACAUGCCUGCAUGCAAACAUACACACACGUGUCACACAUAGAUGAGCACAUAGCCUCCCACACCUCCCUAGAUGGUUUGUGCAGAUCAGCUGAUAAAGGGGGCAUUUUCCUACCCAAUACAGCACUGGGCAUGAAAAUCACACCCUCUGUGCUCUCUGAUGCAUUUUUGCAUAUGUCCCCCAGACUUGGGGGGCAUGGCUAUAAUCUUCCUCACCAAAUGAAGUCUGCAGUGAGGCUCAUUCUUCAUCCAUUUCAUAUAAACUGUGCGUGACAUUAGUGCUUUUGGGCUUGCGAUCUAACAUUCACGUGCAUCAUCAUAAUAAUGAUAAUUUAUUACUUAUACCCCGCCCAUCUGGCCGGGCCACUCCAGCCACUCUGGGCAGCUCCCAACAGAAUACUAAAAACACGAUAAAACAUCAAGCAUUAAUAAUAAUAAUAAUAAUAAUAAUAAUAAUAAUAAUAAUUUAUUAUUUAUACCCCGCCCAUCUGGCUGAGUUUCCCCAGCCACCCUGGGCAGCUUCUAAUUGAGUGUUAAAAACAAUACAGCAUUAAAUAUUAAAAACUUCCCUAAAUAGGGCUGCCUUCAGAUGUCUUCUAAAAGUCAGAUAGUUGUUUAUUUCCUUGACAUCUGACGAGAGGGUGUUCCACAGGGUGGGCGCCACCACUGAGAAGGCCCUCUGCCUGGUUCCCUGUAGCCUCACUUCUUCCAGUGAGGAAACCGCCAGGAGGCCCUCGGAGCUGGACCUCAGUGUCCUGGCAGAACGAUGGGGGUGGAGACGCUCCUUCAGAUAUACUGGACCGAGGCUGUUUAGGGCUUUAAAGGUCAGCACCAACACUUUGAAUUGUGCUCAGAAACAUACUGGGAGCCAAUGUAGGUCUUUCAGGACUGGUGUUAUAUAGUCUCAGUGGCAUCCAUUCCUGAAUACCUCAUUCCUGAAUGUGCCCUCGUAGCUGAAAAGCAUGUGCUUGAAGUGAUUAUAACUCUUCUGCUUUGCUAGGAGGGAAUCACAGUGGGAUGACUCUAACUGAAUCGCUGCGUGUAUGAAACGACUCCCAUGAGCACAACAGGAUUUCCUCUCCUCACCCCUUGCACCCUCCAAAUCGGCUCUAGGGAUUCAUCCAACCCUGUGGAUUAGAUGGGGAGUGAGAGGGCUGGGAAAGUCCCAUUGCCUUUGUGGCAGUUGCUCCAUGCAAGUAGUGUUGUAAAGUGGAAUAUGUGAAUGGGUUGACCUGGGACUUCCAGAAGAGGAACAAGUUGUUUAGAGGGAGCACACAGAAGACCUCAAAUGGGAUCUCCUUCUGGGUUCCAUUCGGACAUGGACUGCUAAAGAAACAUCUACUUCAUUGCAUUUGUAUUUUAUAAUAAAUUCUAUCCUUUCUUUCAGGAAGCAAGCAGGCUUUAACAGCAAUGGCAUGCAGUUAGCAGAUUAAAGACUCC